rnacentral:lncRNA from 1 species
CAGAGUCAGGUGAGUCAGAUGGUGAUAGCAAUUAACCGCCUAGAAUCCCAAAUCCAAGGAAGACUUUCAUCUCAGCCUGAAGUCAACCCAAAGAACGUGAGUGCCAUGACCCUCAAAAGUGGAAGAGAAAUUAAAGGGCCUAUGGUUCUGGAGAAUAAGAGUCAACAUCAAAUUCAAAAAGAGAUGGAAGAUGAAAGGCGUGAAUUGGCAUCAACACUGAGCAAAUUGAAUUCUUCAAAUUAUGAAGAAUUGCCCUCACAGACCAUCGUCGACGUUAAGAAAGAUGAGGAUGUGUUUGUUUGGCCAAGUGACAUGGAGCUACAAGAGUCUCAAGAAAAUAGAUCUAAAGAUGCAAUUGAAAAGGAAGUUGAAGUACAAAAAAUGAGACCCCAACAUCAACUCAUCCAAGUGAAUGAAUCCAACGAACAAGCUCCAAAUGCGGUGACAUUUUCUCCAUUCCUUAAUCAAUAUUCUUCUGAUUCUUAUUCUUCAAUUCCUGUUAAGGAGAUUGACUUUAUUAUAUCAGAAAAUUUUGAAUUUCAUGACAAGAAUAAGUUAAAAGUGGCGAUGGCAAGAUAUCUUGAACCAAUAAAUGCAUGUGAGGAAGGAGUGAAUGGAGAAUUCAAAUUAUCGUUGACUUAUUUGGCGCCAUUUACUAGUCCAUGGAAGACCGUAACUCGUGUGUUCAAGGAUUACUCUAUUUACGAGGGUUAUUAGAACUAUAUAAAGGAUGAAUCAUUAAAACGAGCCACAAGAUUUUAUCCUCCAUGAACAAAUAUGACAAUGUCUAGCUAAAGACGUUAAAGAAAGGCGCUCAUUGGGAGGCAACCCAAUUUCUUUUAGUCAUUUGUUCGUUUUUGUUUGUUAGUUUAAACAUGUUUUCCUUGAGUUUGACUGAUUUCGGAUUUCAAUUUUCGUUUUUGAUGAUUGGUAGGUGUCUCUCUAACAUGACGCGCCCGCGUCAAGUCGUAUGGAGAGCUCAUGGUCAGAAGGAUUCUGGCCCUCAUGACGUGCCCACGUCAAGUCACCUAAAAAGCUUUUCACUUUGUGCCUACAUGACGUGCCCGCGUCAUGUUUGCGGGAAAGCUAAGUAUUCAAACUUUGAGAAAAAAUUUUGAUUUUCUUUUAAUCUCUAAUUUUGAAUUUUGAAAGUGAAUUUUAUUCAUAAUAUUGAGAAAAGAAAAAAGAUAAAAAAAAUCCAAAGAAAAGUUUUUUUUUUUAAAAAAAGCCCAAAGAAAAAACCAAAAACUAUUUUGUUUUUCUUUUUCUCUUUUCUUUUCUUUCUUUUCUUUCUUUCUUUCUUUCCUUUUUCUUCCUCUUCUCCCCCGCUGCCCCUGUUUCCCUUUCCUUCUUCACUCUUUUGGCCGAAACCCUUCACCGACGCCCCUCUAUCCAAACACUAGCGCCGCCGAGUCCAGCCUUCCACCAUCGCGGCGCACACACCAAGUGACAGCCGCGCGCUGCUCAUCCCUCCACCUGCUCUCCUCUCUCCUCUCGCGAACCUAACUUACCGACUAAAUCCCACAGACUGCCACCAACGUCGCCACCUCUAUUUCUUCACGCGCGGCCGCCAUCUCCCUCUCUCGAUCUCACUGUCCGCCACCACCAUUGCCACUCCAGCUGCGCGCCUCCACUCCAACUCAACCCAUCGAUCUCACUAGCUCACAUGCACCAGCUCCUGCCAACGACCGUGAGCUACCGUCGUGCGCCCCCUGCCAACGCAGUUCGCCCACCGUCUCGCCCUUUUCUUCUUUGCCGCGUCUCUCUCCUUGCCGCGACGUCACCACCUGUCAAUUUUUGACAGGUGGAGGUAUUGGAAUUUCUUCCUCCAAUUGUAUUUUUUGGGUCCUAAAUUGCUAGAUUUUGUGCCCUUUUUCUUGGGUUUCUUGGUCGAUAAAAGUGGGGGCUGAUUUGUUUAGUUUUCUCUGUCCCGUUGAGCCUAAUUGUUGCUCUGCUUGGGGUUGUUUUCUGGUACUAAUUGCAUUGUUGAGCAAUGAUUGGGUUUUGACUACUUGAGGCUUUUAUUUCAUCUGUAGGGAUAAUUUUUGACGGCACUUCUGCUGGUUCCUUUGUUUGAAAGUUAUUUGGAUGGUAGUGUCUCUGAUUGCUGAAAUUUAGUAAUUUGUUUAGACACUAGCACUGCUCAGAGUAUGUUCGAGUGGAACUGGUGGGAUGUCCGCUGCUCUUUAAGUUUAAUUGUUGUGGUAUUUGGAGUUGAAUUCUUGUAUUGGUUCAAUUGUUGGGGGUCCAUUGCUCAGCGAUUUGUAUUGUUAAUCUAGUGGACCGUUUCUUGUGCAUUACAUCGCCAAAUUGAGAGCCUCAGCUGUUGUCUGUUGGCUUCACUAGAGGUUUUUCAUUUGUUAUUCCAUUGCACUUGGUAGUCUCCAUAUUUCUUAAAAAUUCUAUUUCUGGUUGAUUGAGUAGCCUCUUAGUACCUAUAGCGGUGAUCCCGGCCCGUCUACCUCCGCUGCGCCUCCUCCAACUCCAGGGGCUGAGGACUGGCACCAGCUCCGGACGCAGGUUCAAAAUUUGGAGGCUCGGAUGAUUAACAUCGACAACAAUGUGGCUGUCAUGACACAGAAUUUGGCGGCAUUUAUGCAGCAAGCGGGUUUUCCACCCCAAUUCCCGCCUCGCCCACCACUUUGACCCGAUUUUAGGGGAGUUCUAUUACCCAUUUUCCCUGCUUUUGCUGUUUCUUUGCCACAUUGAGGACAAUGUGUCAUUUAGAUGUGGGGGGGAUUAGAUGGGGUGCUAAUGUUUUUAGUUUUAUUUUUCAGAUGUUUCCUUUUUGUUUUUACUUUUUAGCUUUUAAUUACCUCGUCUAUUUUUAAUUUUUGUCUAGUUUUUGCUAUUUGGUGUCAUUUGAUGUGUUUUAGUCUAGUUUUCGCUAUUUGGUGUCAUUUGAUGUUGGAUUGUCUACUCGAUGCUACUAUUGUCAAGCUUUCAUAAUAAAAGUAUAUCGAGUUGAUGUGGUUGAGUCCAAGAGCAUCCCUUUGGUGAAUAUCAGUAAUUAUGUAGCCUUUCUAAUUUUUGGUUAACUCUUCUAGGCAUUGGGAAUGAUUGUUAGCAUUUUCAUGUGAAUUGGUCCAGUAUUAACUUUAGUUCUCUAUAUUUGAAGAAAUGAGACUAGCAGCUGCUAUUUUUGUUUUCUUUUACUAUGUUAUUUUGAGUUAUUGUGUUAUCUGGCUGUGAAAUAAAGUUGAUUGUACUCCACUAGUCAUUACUACUGAGUAACUACGGGUUUUCACCUAAAGUGUCGAUUCUCACGUCAAAAAGUAAUAAUUUCUAUGAGUACGUGGUCGUAUAGCGAUAGGAGCUAAGUAACCGAGGUUCUUCAUCUGACAAAUGUUGGAGUUCGCAUUAAAAGGCUCCGAUGGCUAGAGACUAAGUCUUUUGUGCUAUUGAAAAAAUAAAUAAAUAAAUAACGAAAAAAAAAGAAGUGAAAGUUGUGUUAGUGUAUGAUAAAAGUCAGCUUGCCGAUUUGUGGAUUUAAUGUUGAGAUUUUGGUUAAUAAUUGGACUAUUUGGUGAUAAAUGUUGUGCGUCAUUCCUUCUUCUUAGAUUAGUUAACCUGAAAUUAGAGGAGUUUGUGGUUUAGAAGCUAAUCGGGAUGAUGUUUCUCGGAUUUUGAUCACUGAUGCUUGAUAUAUGAUUUUUCUUGGUAUCUUGGCAAUAUGGGGGAUGGAGCGAUGACCAUGGUCAAAUUUUGGUGUUUGAUUGUUGUUCUCAUACUUGAGGACAAGCAUGAUUUAGGUGUGGGGGGAAUUGAUAGGGUGUUAAUUGUUGGUCAUUUUAUUGUUAAUUUCUCGCUUUGUCCUUACCAAAUAUUGUUUUAAUUGUUAAUAUAUACUUAUAUUUGGUAUUUGGCCUAAAUUACAGGAGGUGGAGCAGAAAAGUGCUAAAAAGGGAGGCCUUCUUGAGAAAUAUUCAAUACGUGGGGAGCUUCCAAAAAGAUCUACAACCACGGCCCACAAUUGUGCUACAACGGAGCCCGUUUCCUGGGCUAACUAGGAGUUUUCUGGGAUUAGCAAUUGGAGAGACGCCGCACAACAGUAGUAGCACUUAGAUAGGAAAUAUAGAAAUAGCAUAGGACUAGCACUACUUUGGAGGGGAUUCUUUUAGCUUUUGACUUUUCCCAUUUUGUUUUUUAGUAUCUUUUCCUUCCUUCGUAUGAUGGGAUGAAAGGAAGACAUUAGAUCAAUCUCUGUAACUUUGCUUUUCUUUAUGCCUUCGAUCGAAUUGAAUUUGCCCAUUUUUCAAUCAAUGGCCGCUGCUUUCUCUUCGAGUUCGUAUGGAUCUUUCGCAUUGGGGGGAUGAGCUAAAUUCCCUCUUCUAGUCAAGAAACAACGGAUGCUUUGAUUUGCCAAAAAAUUGUGAGAUCGAUUUAAUUUAAUUUUUUUCUUUUAUUUAUUGGUAUUUGCAUAUUCCUUGAUUACAGCGCUUGUGAUUGUUCAAUUAAUUGAUUGUUUUGGAUCCAGAUAAUUAAUUAAUUUAGCAACCUGAUGUCAAUUAGAGCGUUAAAUUCGUAAUUGUUUAAUUGCUCUAAAAUAGUGACAACUGACACGAUUGGGUUUGUGUCAGAGAAAUACGCGGACUAAUAUAAAAUAACUCUGGUAGUGCGUUAUUUGGUUAGAAUAGGACUCCUCUAAUACGUAAGGCAGUUGGGGCAUUAAAUCUUACGGGCGUACCCAGAAUUAUUUCUCAAUUAGAGCAGUGAUUAACGGGCGUACCUUAAUCACCGACACAGUAAGAAGGGGUUGACUGUCAUCGCUUGUUUGACAGUUAUAACCUAUUUAUUAGUAAAUAAUUGGAAUUGGCUUUGCAUCGAUGAUCAAUUAGGUGAACCAUUACUAAAGUUAUUUCUUGGCUAGAGCCUUAAUUAUUAUUCAUUUGAUUUUAGUAAAUUAUUAUUUAAUUUUUAGCAAUUUCUUAGAUUUUAUUUGAAUUUCUUUGAUUGUCACCUUCUGCACAAAAACACCCCCUUUGUUACUGUGGAUUUAAAAAGAAACAUUUAUCCCCAAUUCCUGUGAAUUCGACCCUACUUACCACUAUUUACAAAAAUUAACUUUAGUUGAGCAUGUUUUUAUUAUUGCACAAGCUGACAACCUGUCAGAAAAAUUCCCUAAUUUCCAACAAUAGUGGGCAAAUUUAGAUACCUUCCUGGUAAAUGAAUCAUGCUUCAAAAUCUACAACAUAAUGCUGAUGAUGAACUUGAUAUUUUCUUCCAGAAUUGGCCUAUUUCUUCCUUCAUCUGGGAUAUGGUUCAGUAAUUGAUGCAUCAUUGACAGAGCUUGGAGCUGAAAUUCUUUGAGCGUUGGAUUGAUCAACUUUCAGCUCGUCUACCCUGCUCUCCGAUCCAUUGCUCCGGAAAACUGCCGGACGAUGUGGAGUUGGUAGGGAAACAGAAGCAGGAUUGAGCAUGCAGACCACGGAAGCCAUUGUGGGUCUUUUACUGGCAUCUUCUUCAACACAUAGUAAGCCAACUUGGAUGCAUUGAAUGACUUCAUUUCUGGCAUAAGAAUCUCCAAUGCUUGAAUCCAAAAGAGCUAAAGUUUGGCCGAGUCUCCAAUGGUUCCAAGCCUUUUCGAAAUAAUCCCACUCAUAAGGUGUACAUUCUUAAAAACUUCAAUCAGCUUAAAUAGAUAUACAGGUAAAUGUCAAUAUUCACAAUAGGCAAUUGUCAAUACUCUCUAUUUCAAGCUUAAUCAUAUAAAAAGAUGGAUUGAUCUUUCCUACACUGACAGUGUACACACUGUUGUCAGCGUUGGAUGAACAACAACUAUGCAAAAUUUGAAUUUCAAAUUUUAACAUUUACACAUAUAUCAUGAAUCUAAAGGUGAUAAUGUAUACACUGUCAGUGUAUAUGAGAUUUAUUCAUAAAAGAUUUUGAAUCGCAACCUUUUUUCCCAUCAUUGUAGUUAAGUAUAACCUGAGAAAGAAGUACAAUGGUCUUUACUGAAAUUCACAAGUACUCUAUUCUGAGUGUGUGACAACGUACAAAACGAGAGAAAGAAUAGCAAUUAUGACAAGUCUUGCAUCCGACAUCUAAAAAUUUCCAUAAGAAUCACAUAAACAGAAAUACGUAGUUAUUUAGGGCAGGUAGUUCAUAAAUUAUCGUGCCAGUUUGGUCUGGUUCACACAAAAAAUGGUAUUGCAAGUUUAGGUGAAUUUAAUAAUGAAAAAAAAAAGAAAAGAUAAAAGGUUGAAAAUUAGGAGUGCCAAUAUCAAAUCCUCCUCCCCAGUUCUGCAAAAGCCAAAAAAAAAAAAGGUAACAACUAUAGCAAAGGUUUUGCAAUUUGUACUUACAUAGCUUAGAAGGUCUUCGGAAUCUCUAGAUUGAUGGAAGUCACUGCUCUUCUUGCCCGUGACAAUUUCCAAAAUUACAACCCCAAAACUAAACACGUCUGACUUUAGUGAGAACUGACCCCACCUUGUGUAUUCAGGAGCCAUAUAACCACUACAAGCCACCACUACAAGCCACAACGAUUGUUAUAAUCAGUACAAAGAUAAUCCGAAUGAUGCAAUCAAAUGGAGGUGUACAUAAUUUUCCAUGAAAGAUUCAAAGUGAUAUUAUGUGAGAAAAGAUAGUAUGGGAGCAAAACUUACACUGUCCCUGCAAUUCUAUUUGUGUUUCCUUCAUAUUGAUCAACUCCACAAAUCUUUGCCAUGCCAAAAUCUGCUAUCUUUGGACUCAUAUUUCCAUGCAAUAAUAUAUUACUUACUUUGAGAUCGCGAUGAACAAUUCUUAGACGAGAAUCCUCAUGCAGAUAAAGAAGUCCUUUUGCUAUACCUCCAAUGAUAUUGUAACGUCUUGACCAGUUCAAUGAUCGUUUAUUUUCUGGAUCUACACAAAUUUAAACACAAUAUAUUGUGCUAGCAUUGAGAAUUAUUAAAUCAAUAACUCCAGAAAGCAUAAUCAAAUAGGUAAAUUAAUAUUUGUGCCCGUGAAGUAUCCAAAAUUAAAGUUUAAGAACUAAAGUUUGAGUGCGUCUGUGGUUUAAGGGUCUAAACCAGAAUUCACACCAAUUAAACAUUUGUCUAGAGGCAAUUUGUCCGUCAUUUCCAUAAAAUGGCAAGUCAAGUAAAAUAGAACAAGAUCACAUGGAACAACAAAAAAUUACUAUAAGUAUGUCCAGAUUGAACCCACCAAAGAGAAAGUAGUCAAGGCUUUUGUUGGCAACAAAUUCAUAGAUGAGUAUCUUUUCUUCUCCUUCCAGGCAAAAUCCCAAUAGCCGAACUAGAUUUCUGUGUUGAAGCUUUGCAACUACUACAAUUUCAUUUUUAAAUUCUUCUGCACCUUGCACUGAGCUCCUUGACAGCCUUUUAACAGCUACUUCUUGUCCAUUACCAAGUACACCCUGAGUAAACAUGCAUACUAGAAUUUAAUUGAAAUAUUAAAUGUGUAGAUAUUCAAAUUCACAAAAGCAAAAUAUUUCACGCAAAGACCUUGUAUACACGACCAAAUCCACCUUCGCCAAUUUUGUUAUCCAUAGAGAAGUUAUUUGUGGCAAUUUGAAUUUCAGUUAAGCUAUACUGUAAGGAUUCGGCUGUUAAGAUUUCAGCAACUCCAUCUACACCAGGGAUAAGCAACUUCACUCAAUUUAUUAGUUCAAAAACCUCUGAGGUUUCCUGUAAUUGCAAUCAAUAAACUUUACCACUUGUUUCCGGUGCCAUUGCAACAUAACUCUUCCGCAAUCUUCUUUUCAGGAAAACUAAAGCCAUGACAAAUAGCACAACAGCAACCCCAAUUAAUGGGACAGCAAUUGAAAAAGCUGCUCGCGGGGGGCUUCGCCCUUUGCCUGGAUGAAAGUUAGUUUAAUUUAGCUUCGAAAGUCAGCUGAUUAUAGGAGAUCAAGUUUAUUAAACUUCGAGGUAGAGUAGGGUCACCCUGAGACAGCCUUACACAGACAAAAAGCUAGAGUUGAGAUCCUCUCCAUUACUUUCUCACCAUUUAUGUGCCUAAAUUUUUCAUAAUAAUCUAUUUAUGUCAAUAAUUUUACCUCCACAAGUAGAUCAACAUACUUAAAAUUCAUUCUCAUUUAUGAAUUUUUUGCCAUUCAAUUUGUACAAAACACUUUGACGGUGUAAAAUGGUUCAAAAUUAUGAUAAAAAAUGUAAAGUUUGAUCAAAUAGUAAAGUUUAAUCAAUUUAAUUUGAAUUUCUUAAUACUUUAAGCAACACGAGAAAUAUAAAUUGGAUGACCUUUUAUUUCAAAAAGGGUUAAAUACCCAAAAACCCCCUGUGGUUUGCCUAAUGUUCACUUUACCUCCCUAUGGUUUGGAAACCUACAAUUUGACUUCUUGUCGUUUCAACUAAAGUAAAAGUCUAACGGAAAACAUCUAAACUAACGUCUGAAAGGAAAAUGUCAAAAUUGCCCCUCUAUAAGGGUUUUGCGUUAAGUACCAAAAACCCCCCUGUGGUUUGUCAAAUGUACACUUUACUUCCCUAUGGUUUGAAAAUAUACAAUUUAACUCCCUGUCAUUUCACCUAAAGUGAAAAUCUAACAGAAAUUCCGUUAAAUACACUUUAGUUGAAAUGACAGGGAGUCAAAUUGUAGGUUUCCAAACCAUAGGGAGGUAAAGUGAACAUUAGGCAAACCACAGGGGGGGUUUUGGUAUUUAACCCUUUCAAAAAUAAUAUUAUAACCAUGUUUAUUUAGGUGUAAUGGAGAAAAAAUUUUCUCCAUGGAGAAGAGCCAAACCAACAAAGCUAUGCAAAAACACAUUAUUUGGAAGAAUAUUUUUUCAAUAUUCUUUAAAAGUUUUUCACCACCUUUUCGUCUCACAUGCUUCAUGUUGAUGGAUUAAUAUUAAAAAACUCCCCUGAGAUUUGAGCGUUUACAAGCUUAACUUUGUGUCUGGACCAAAUUACGACUACCCAUUGUCAGCGAGGCUGUCCAAACCUAGUGAUUAUAAUGCAAUGACAACAAUGCCAAAUAUUUUGGAAAUAAAACCAAACAAAUGAGAUAGCUUUUUUAGUCCAAAGAAUUGCUAUAGAAGAAAAAGGUCGAAGAAAAUUAAUUACCAAAUUAAGAAGAGAGACAAAUCACCAAAAAUUCUUUAGCCUAUGCACUUGUAGCCUUGUGUAGAAAUGCAAAUCCUUAUUUCUUAUUCGCUGGAUGAUUUCGCACCACGCAUCCGUGGUCCUGUGAAAUUGGAUAGCAUAAGUUUCCUUCGCUUUCAGAAGACCACGAAUCUAAGGUGGGAAAUCAUCCAACGAUGUGUUUCCUCUGCUGUGUUUUUUGUUCUUUUGUCAUGUAUUUGUUUUUAGUUAUUCCAUUUUGAUUUUUUAUGACCCACAUGAAGAAUACAUGGCAAUAUGCAUAGUUAUUAAACUCGAUUGGACAAGAAAUCCAACAGAGGGGCCAGGGCAACAUGUGACUGGUUUAACCAAUCAGUCAUUGGUUGAACUAGUGGGUACUAAAUUAAUAUUUAUAAAUAUAAAAUAGCAAUAAAGUGCUUUUAGAUACUAAUUAUUAUACUUUGAAAGAUAUACAGUGAAUAUACAAAUAUUAAUAGAAGAUUUAAUUUUAUUUUAUUGUUCUUGUACAUAAAUAAAUAACACAUUCAAAUAUAGAACAAAAUUGUAUCACUUAUUUUCAAAGGUAUAGCAUCAUUUUUAUUAUUUUAUCUUUCAAAAAUAAAAUAAUUUUUAACAACUCAAAUAUUGUAAGUUUGAAAGUUAAAAGAAUUAAUUGUCUAACAAAAAAGUAAACAAGUUUAUUUAAUAAAACAUUUAAUUAUCAAGUAAAAACUAAGCAAGUAGUAAAUUUUUUUACACAUUUAAGUGGAAAUCCAACAUACAAAUCUAGUCAAAAUUAUAUUACACCUUGUUUCAAAAACAAUGAUCCACAAUUGUAUUAGAAAAAAGAACCCAGUCAACUGGAAAACCGAACGGGCUAUGAUUGAACCACCAUGUCAAACAGGUUUGAUCGGACCAGCCCAUUCUUCAAUCAAACUGGAAAUCCUUUCGGCCGGAUGGUCGAGUCAUUGAUAGGGUUGCAAACGAAUCGAACCGCUCACGAGCAACUCAAUUCAAAACUCGACUCGAGCUCGAUGUGCUGCUCAUGAUAACUCGAGCUCAAUCAACAUCGAACUCGAGGCAGGCUCAACCUGGUCAAGUCGAACUCGAAUUCGAACUCGAGUUCAAAGCUAUUCAACUCGAUAGUUCAUGAGCCAAAUCAAUUAUAUAUAUAUAUAUUAUUUUUUAUUUUAAUAGUAAAAUUACAUAUAUAUAUAUCCCUAAUAUUUUAUUUUUUGUUAAGAAAUUAUUAUUUUAUUCCCUUUUUGAAAAAUAAAAUAACUAUUUUUUUAUUUUUUUAAGCUUCAGUCCAAGUUCAAACUCAAUUCGAAUUUGAGUUAAACUCGAGCUCGAGCUGUUACAUUGAGAGCUCGUCCAGUUCAAGCUUGAGCUUGAGUGUGAUAAAACUAAGUCGAGUUUGGAUCGAUUAAACUAAAGUCGACUCAACUCAACUUUGUAGCCUAUUUCAUUGGGCUGAUUGUUUCAACUGCUAGGGUCACAUCAGGUUCAAUAACAAUAGGGGAUGAAAUAAAAAGUAAAACAGAAAAUCCAUUGUGAAACAAAUGUAAAAAAAAAUUUAUUUGGCAAGAAAACAAUGGUAGGAUUUAAGAGUGGAGGAGAAAGGGAAUUUGAAUCUAAGAUCUCUAAAUUCUAAGGUCUCAACCUUAGCCACUAAGCAUAUAGUGCGUUACGUCAUAAUCUCCUUAUGCAUGUGAAAUUAUCCUAUUAUCUUGGCCCCUUGAACUUUCUUGUAAAGUGGAUCACUGAUUUUUCUUUUUUAGGCUAAAUUAACUUCAAGGAGGGUAAAUAUGGUAUUUGGUUGAUUUCAAUGCGAAUAGUUGUCUUGUAUAUUUUUUUUCUCAGCUAUUUUCUACUUUGGGCUCUCAACUAUAGACAUACUGCCACUUUAAUCAUUAAAUUUCAAAGUUGAGCACUUUAUUUCUUAAAAUAUGAAAUUCAUCCUACUUUAGUUCUUAAUAGUUGUAUUCAAAAUUUUGGCAGCUAGUUUUGUUACAAAACAAAGAAAGAUCAAAUGGAUUCACGUUACCAAAGCCAGGGACGGAGCCAGAAAUUUAUUUUUGGGGGGGCUGAAGUGUAUUAAAAAAUUUUUUUUGUGACGAAAUAAAUAUAUUUAAUAAGUAAAAUUUAGAAUCAAUAAUUAUAAAAAUAAUAAAAACAUAUAGUUAUACAUACCCAAAAAUUUGUUAUUGAUUAACACUUGAAGUAUUGGUAGUUGUUGCACUCAAAUAACGAAGAGGAGGCAAUUGCAUUCUGCGAGUCUUCAUCCGUUGAAAACGCUGCAAUAUUUGCUCAUUUUCAAUUGUUGCAAAAAUAUCCUUCUCGAUGUAUACAACCAGACAGUCAUUCAUCCACUCGUCUCCCAUUUUGUUGCGCAAAUCAGUCUUGACAAUAUUCAUUGCAGAUAAUACUCUUUCAACAGAAGCAGUCGCAACUGGUAGAACUAAUGCCAACUGGAUCAGACGAUAAACCAAUGGAAAAACUGUAUUUUUACCAGUUUUAACCAUUUGUUGAGCAAGACUUCCCAAAUCUCCAACUUCUGAAAAUUGAGGAUUGCGUUGCACAUUAUAAAUAUAAUUUCGAAGUUGAGACUCAAGAUAUAAAUAAUCGUUACUUGAGAAGUCUUCAGGAUAUAAAUCAGCAAGACGGAGUAGUUUCUGCACAUUGAAUUGAGAGAAAGAACUUUUUGGAUCAAGACAUGCUAUGCAACUAAGCAAUUCCGUGCUAACUUCCGAGAAACGAUUAUUCAUCUCUUGUAUAAUUAAAUCAACAAUCUGACAUCACAACAAUAAUAAAAUUAAUAACUAAGAAAAUCUGCUAACAAGUAACAAAUGUAAUGAAAUAAUAAUUUCAAAAAUAAUACCUCACAAAAAAUUUCCACGCGAUAAUGAUGAAAAUUAGUGAUGGUUUGACCUCUGGUCCAUAACAAUUCUACUUCAACAUAUAUUCAAUAGUUAUUACAGUCCUAAUGCUUGCAAAAGACUAAAUUUACUGUCCUAAGAAGUAUGACCACUUAAAAUCUUCCAUAAAUUACAAAUGAUGAUGCGGAAAUCUUACUGUUACGUAUUCAACUAAAAUUUGGCUUAGAAAAUUCAGUAAGUUACGUGGUGGUCUCCUUUCGUUUGAAAGUGAAUUCACACCCUUCAUCCUAUAUUUACAUAUUAUACUAACUUCAAUAAUAUUAAUUUCAAUAACAAAGGUAUGAAUUUAAAAUGAAGGAUAUGAAUUUAGUGCUUUUCAUUUUUGACCUAGAAUUUACUGCAAACAAGAAAUUGUAAGAAUUAAGAUUGUAUUCAACACCAAUUCCAAGAAGAGACGGCCAUAGCAAGGCUGCAGAACUUUACCUUCAGUGGAUUUAGGAGGAGGACCGCCAGGAGAGUUUGGCGAUGCAGAGGAUACAGUAUCAUAGAAGCUGGAGACCUCAUACCUCAGGUUACAGCUUGGAUAAAUUACUCUCCCUCCCUGCUUCUUGGAACAGCACGCGGGUACAUCUAUUAUAGCCUCUGUGAGGCACCUUUUGCAGUCAUAAGGGGAUAGAUCUGGUGUGCACUGCGUAAGGGUAUACAAUCUCUUUUGAUCAGUGGAAUAAUUGCCUUCUUCGACAGCAAACUUUUUGCCCAUGGUAUGAUUUGCAGCCUUAUCCGCAGUGUUAUGCAACAAAUUGAUCAAUACCAUUUUGAAUUUGUCCCAGUCGGGUCCAGGGACAUCGAAUGGAUUGCGCCUAGUCAAAUUCUCUCCCAAAUCAGCCUUGGAGAAGAUCGUCUGGUCAGAAAAACGUACCAAGCACUCGUCAUACCAAACAAUAGCAGCUGUUUGAUUCGGGCACUCAUGAAGUAGUCGUGUGUGGGCAUCUGCGACGCAUUCUUUGCAAACAUCAGUGUUGACAUCACCUCGACAGAGAAAGAGGCCAUAGACCUUGUUUGAAGGGUCAUCGCCAGUACUGAAAUUAUAGAAGCCAUUGUUGUCUGUCCGAGAUGCAUGCGAAGACAGAUUGUAAAGCAAGAAAUUCAGAUUGGCUCUGUAAAUGCUGCCGGAAGGACUGUUAGGAUUGUAUGUAAUAUUUCCACAGUAAGAGUCAAGAUAGUUCCAGGGGUUUGUGUCUGAUAAGUGACUAAUUUACGUAAUAAUUGUAUGAUAUUUUAUAUUAUUUUUAGUCACUUUAGUUAUAUUAUUGGAAGAAAAUGAAUCAUUUUGGCUAUAAUUGGUGAAAAAUGCUUUUAAGUGAUUAAAUGAGCUUUUUAUCACUUUUUACUUGGAUUUUGUGUAUUUUGACAGUUUUGACACAUUUUCGUAUUUCGGCUAUAACUUGAGCUACAAUGAUCGGAUUAGAAUGAUUCUUGAACCCAUUUGAAGAUAAGAGAUAGAUGUACAACUUUGGUGAAAACAUCUGAAUCCAGUUUGAAGGUUUUCCAGGUCAAAAAGCCGAAGUACAGAGUCAAUUGCUAUUGGUCGAAACUGGAACAAGGCAUGGAGCAGGAAAGGGUUUUUCAGUCAUAUCUCAGCCUACACAGAUCCAAAUGAGGUGAUUCUUGAUGCAUUGGAAAGAUAACUUAAAAGGCUACAACUUUCAUGUUUUAGACAUGAGCUGAUUCAGCCUCUAACAUCAAAAAAUGAUUGGUUGAAGUUGGGCCAAAAACAGAGCAAGUGAUCCACACUCGGAUCCAUAAGGAUCCGAGGUACUGUAGCAGCUUGGAUCACUGUAGCAGCCCAGAUUUACUGUAGCAAUCCGGCCUGAAUUUGGCCGGAUUGUGGUCAGAAAAGGCUGCUCUGUACGCGUAAAACUCAAUUUCACCUCCACCAACUCACAUGUGAUGCUAGACAUGUGAGAAACAUUCCCAGCUGUAAAAGGAAGGUGGAGGCCUCAUUUCUUGACCAACCUUUCAUCAUUAAAUAGCCAAAUUCAUUGCAAGAUUGAGAGAGAGAGAGAGAUACGGGAGAAGCUUGGAGUCUGCAGAAAUGUAGUUCUUCCAUUUCCUUAGUGUAGGAUAGUUUUAGUUAGUAGUUAAUCCAUUCUUGUAUAAUAAUUAGAUUAGGAUGAAGAUGGAGAUGAAGAAGAAGGAGUUGAAGCUCAAGUGACAUGGGUUAUUUCUUCUCCAAUUCUUUAUCUUUUGUAUUGGAUUCUUAAAUAUGGUUAUUAUGCACGUUCUGGAAUUUAUGUUUGUUAUUUGUUUCUAAAGUUUAUACCUUGGGUUUGGUUGAACUUUCUAUAAUUGUUAGUGUUUAUUAUUUGGUUAUUUGAUUGCUAUGAUUUGAGCAAGUUAUUUAGCACUUUGGCUCUUUAAAUCAUGAUUAAUCUGGUACCAUUGAUUGUGAUUAUCUAAGGUGUUGUUUCUGCAAUGAAAAUUGAGAUUUAACACUAGUUCAAGAAGUGCUAAACAUAGGGAAUACACUCACGAAAGUAGAGGUGCACCUAUGUGGUUUUUAGUGAUUCAUUUCAUGUAAUUUUAUUGAAGAAAUGAACUUGUAGCUAAUUUUAUAACCAUGAAAAUAUGUAUGGAUUAGUUAUGAGUAUAGUUUAUUCACUACGAAAGUAGGUUUUACAUGUUUAAGGAAAUUACACUAUAACUAGCCUAGAUGUAGUACUCAAUGAUCCCAAUAUAACACUUGCAUGAGUAGUUAGGGAUAUCACAACCUAAGGAGCUUUUAUUUGUCAUUUUGUAUAAUUUCAGUAGGUUAAAUUUGUUAUAAUUCAUUGAUAGUCUAAAUAAUAGAGAAGCUUUAGUAAUACUAGUAAUUGUUCACUCUUCCCUGUGGGAUCGACCCGAUAUAUACCCUAAACUACUAGUUGAUCUGUAUACUUGCAGUGAACGGGUGUAAUUUGGUUUUUUAACUUGUACGUAUGUAAAAUACCCGUUAGUGUCGUUGGAAGUGGAACAACAAUAUUCAAUGGUAUGGAAGCUAAGCAAACAAAGCAUGUAAUAUUUGAAAUGGAACAACAAAUUUCUGGAGAUCAUUUCAAAGGAAGGCAUCAAAAGAGUAAAAGGCUAACAACCUACAAACUAGAUUGGUAGAUUAGGAGCCAAAUUAAGUAUUGUUUGAGGGACCAUGAAAGUUGCAUAAGCCAGGAAAAUUUAUGGCCUGGGAAAACUUGACCUUGGCAAGUCUUACAACCAAGUCGCCUGGACGUGAACCAUCAGCUGACUGGCCUGUAACCAAGAUUCUAUAGUCAGUAGAUGCUAAGGGUAUCGAACAACGACAUUUGUGGAGGAUAAUUGGAAAUUGACUAAUGCUGAGAAGAAUAAAGUGGACCAGAUGGAAUCCCUACCUAGAAGUUCAGAGUUCAUACUGGUUUGAGAAAGAGUUCUCUAUAUACAGUUAAAAGGAUAGAUUAUACAUAAUACCCCCGUGGAUUCACUUGUUGUCACAUAAACGACCUAAUAUUUCUAAAUACCCACAUAAAUCUCAUGUGAUUUCAUGUAAAGUGAAAACUUGAAGAAAAAUAAAUCCCGUAAUAUUGUUAGUUACUAGUACUGUCCUAUUCAAGCACACUAAAUCAAUCAACACUUUAACCACUGUACAUAAAAUCAUACGGGAAUAAUGUGGAUAAAUGCAAAAACUAUUGAGAGCUAGAGUGAAUAUUCAUGCAAAUCAUAGGGACUUUAAAUGGAUAUUUUGAUUUUAUUACACACGUUUUUUAUAUAUGGUUCAAUCAGUGUAACUAUAGGUGCUUCCUAUCCAUUUUUCAUAUUACAUGAAACCACAGGAGGUUACAUAAAUAUUUUCAAAUCCUAAAGGGAUUGUAUGGAAAUAUGGAAAAUUUUGGGGGGGGUGCUAAUUUAACCUGGUCAAAUCAUGUAAAGUCUGUCGCAUUUUCGUUAUUGGAUUGAAACUUCCAAAUAAUUUUCAUUGUCGAAAAUACCAUUUGCAAUAUAUAUGAGUGUCUUCACCAUUUUGUCCAACUUGUUUACAUUUCAUAGACUUUUCUUUUUCUUUGGCUAAAGUGGGAAUAUCACAAGACAAGCAUUAAAUCAAAGGGCCCUCCAACGAAAGAAAUACCUGUCCAAUUUAUAUUACCAAUUUAAUUCGCCAUGUGCUUGUUGGCUUCUAAUUUAUGUUAAAAUUAACUUUUCAAGAUUGGUGUUCUGUUUAUAUUGUUUUUUGUUCGUGUUAAGAAAUUAUUGUGCAGGAUUUUAAAUCUAAUUCAGUAUUUUUGUUGUCAAAAUCACCCAAAUUUUACAACAUAUGUAUAUUUUGGAGUACAUAUUUGUGUUGUUCAUAAGAUGCUUGUAUCUAGUUUAGAUAUUUAUUCUGUUUAGUAAUUAUAAGGAUGCACAUUCUUCUACGACCUAUUUGUGCUGAAAUUAUCAAAUGUGAAUAAUUUUUAUUGUUUUAGUUAUUAUUAACAUUUAUCAUUGCCAGAAAGGGAAAAGAAGAACAGAUUUUUGAAAAAAAAAAAAAAAAAGAACUUAGAGGAAAAGGGUUUUUCACGAAUGAAAGGAACUAUUGAAGGAUCCUAAAAAACCCUUGAUCACUACUAGCUAGUAGGCCCUGAUAUAUUCCUUAGUAAUUGUGGAUGACAGAGAGAGGAUUGGACGGUGGAGAAGAAAGAGAAGGAAUUUUUGUGUAGGGUAAAAUCGCUACUUCUCUUUCAUGUUACUUACAAAUUGUUAUUGUUUUACAUUAAAAUCUUUCAGAGUAUCCUAUGAUACCUUAUGAUCAUGUUCUAAACCAUAUGAUCCUCAAAAUUCAAUGAUGAAAAACAAGAAGAAUUCAUGGCUGAAGGUUUGACAUAUUCAUGUUUUAGCAGUUUAAAGAUCGUGAUCCUAACCCAUGAAUACUCUAGAAAAUUGGAGAACCUAUUAAACCUAGAAGUUAUAUGAUACAGAGCCGUUUAUGAUGAAGUUUCAUGGUUUUUGUAUUCUACAACAGCAGAACCAUGACUUGGAAAUAAGAAAAACUCAUAAUCUUGCAUAGCAUAGUUGCACUGAAUCGGUCAUAAUUUAGUGUAUAAAGCUUGGAUUAAGGUGCCAUAUGCUUUCCCAAAGGGCUUUUACUACUUAUAAAGUAAUUCUUCUGGUUCAAUUUAUAUUGAAGGUAGAAAUUUUUUCAAGGUUGACUGUUUCAAUUCAAAAUCUUGGAACAGUUUCUCAUCAAAGUUUUAGCCUCUUGAUGUAUAUAGUAGUGGAAAGCCCAUUCUUGUAUGAUUUUUUCAAACUCACGAGCAUCCGAUUAUGUAAAUCUAGUCCAUUCUGGAAGUUUUAGUCUUUCUGGUAACCUUGUAGUCAUAUUUGAAUGUUCUAAAAUUAAGAUUUCGGAGAUGACUCCUUCACGAAAGCUAAAGACAUCAUUGAUCUUUCCAAAUUCCAACUGUAUAAAUAUCUUGUGAAAACAGUGAAUCGGCCGGGACAAUUAAAUCUUUUAACGAUUGUCAAAUCUUGAUAUUUUCUGAUUUGCACAAGUUGAAUAUUUUGAAAUUGAAAGAGGCUUAUAAACUCAAUGAUUUUUAAUAACUGUUUACUGAAAGGUUUACUAGAAUCAAUUAAUGGUACGUAGAACUAUGUUAAAGAAUUUUUAAACAAUUAUUGUUAGUUACGGAUGAAAAACUUUUUAAAAUAUAUCGAUGAAUGCUGAUGGGUUUUUAUAUUUGCUAAUUUUCAGGUUUUAGAUGAAACUCAUGUUUUCAUUCAAAGGGUUUUUAUUUAGUGUAAGAGUAGUGUUGUGUGUGUAUGUGUAUGUGCCUAUAUAUAUAGGAUUAAUUACAAAAUCUCCUCCUAAGAUUUAACCAAUUUUGUACUUUGUCCCCUAACAUUAUUUUUGGUUUUUCACUUUAGCCUCUAAACCAUUAAUCAAUGCUAACAUUGUAUAAUGGAAAUGUCAAAAAGACAUUGAUAUCCCUAAGAGUUAAUUACAAUAAAAUUCCCUUACGUUAUAAUGCAUUUUGCACUUUACCUCUAAUAUCAUUUUUUUCUUAAUUUGUCUAUUUAUCGCUAAAAUCAUUAGUCAACUCCAAUUUUUUUCAUACCAUUCAAGACAAAUAAUGUAUAAAAAUAUUAAUAUCCCCAACAAAAUAAUAAAAUUUAAUAUAUAUUCAUGAAUAUAGGUUUUGGUGAAUUUUAUCCCUAUAAUUAAAGGUGUUUUAGAUAGUGGAAAAUAUCCCGCUCAUUUCACGCGAUAAGUGAAAAAAAAAAUUAUUAGUGCAAAAUUAAACUAUGAAAAUAUUGUUAAAGGUCUAUAGGUUGGGUUUGUUUGAAUUGAAGCUUACUUGGAAAAUCUUUUAGAAUAAUAGCACUUUUUGCUAUUUGUUUGUGAAAGAAAAAGAUGGUGAAAAAAAUAAAAAGUUGAUUGGAAAAUGUGUUAUAAUGCAACAGAAUUUUUUUGAAAAACAUCAAAAUAAAUUUUAAUAUCAUCUAAAUAUGGUCUAUUAAAAGAACAACCUGAUAAACUUUGAAACCCAAAUCAACUAUAUUUCUCUCUGUUUUUAGUAUUACCAACAAAAAAAUGUAUACUUUGAUAUAAAGAAAUAUUUAGCUAUUAAAAGAAAAGCAUAGUCAUAUGCAUGCUCCUGACAAGUGUCGAGCCUGUGCAAUAAUAAUAAUAAUAAUCCUAAGUGCCAACAAAGCAGUUUCGUGUCAAUUCUAGUACUCGAGCAGGGACUCUAUAUGUGCAAUGAGUUACUUAAUUCACCCUGGUUCCGAAGAAUUUGCUUAAUCCGAUAUACCAGAAAUUAUUCGCGCGAAAUCUCUAAUUUGUAUAUAGGGCAAGUAGGCUCGAAUCCACAAAGAUUGGGGGAAAUUUGUUUCUUCUAUAGUACGGAGAACAGGGGAUUUUUAUAAAAUCAAGAAUGACUAAACAAUUCAAACAGAGAUAAAAAAUAAAUAAAUAACCAAUUAAUAAAAAUAAUUCACGAAAGUAAGCAGGAAUUAAGUCGAUGGUAGACAAUCUCUAGUCAAAGAAACAACCUCACAGACACAGUCCAUUUAUCCGAUCAUCGAUGCAAAGAUGGUUUGCUCAAUUCAUUAACAGGUUAGUUAUAGUCGCCAACAAGCUCUGACGUCCAACUCCAACUUUUCCUUAGUUUAUUGAUGACCAAGGUAUGAUCGUUAAUCACCCCUAACCAGGAAAUAACACUAGGAACGACCGUAAAAUUUAAUUUUUCAAUUGCAUUAAGAAUUAUAAAAAUCUAACCCUAAUCAAUAACACACUAAGAGGGUUAUUUAAAUUAGAUUGCGCAUUCCCCUAACGUGUAUAAACGCUAGUUGCCACUAAUAUUAAUCGACUAAACAAUUACGAAUUUAGUGAUUAAUUUGGCAUUAGAUUAUUAGGUUACUUUGAAUAGCGGGCCCUUGACAUUCAGUUAACGAAAUAAUCUCUAGAAAUUAAAAUAGAGAAUGCACAAAUAUCAAUAAAUUGAAGGAACGAGUUGGGAUUAGUUCGAUCUCACGGAUAUUUGGGACUGCGUCGCUGAGUUGAUCUCCGACUAGAUGAGGAACUUAGCCAUGCCUCAUAGAGAAAUUUCCACGCGAAUUAGUAGAAUUCAUGAACAUCAAACUUUGUUCCUUAAACAAUCUAAUAUGUUUCAUGCAAGAAGAGUAAAGGCACGAAGAAGGAAUUAUCUCCUGUCUUGCGGCCUCGGGACAAAGACGAAUAAAAGAAAAAUUCUCCCUAAUCUAAACAAUGACUAGUCUAUCAUCUCAUUGGUUUUCCCACCGAAUAAGGAAAACAAAGAGAUAAGGCAACUACUGAAGUUUCUUUCUUUCUUGUUUCCUAAUGCUAGUAAACUACUAGUCACGAAAGGAAUGGCAUUGGUUUAGCACAUCUUAGAGCCGAAUUUGCAAAGAUUCUCAAAGCUUCCCGCGUGCACAGCAUUUUCUCAAGAAAGUCACCCUUUUUAGUACUUUUCUGCUCCACUUCCUGUAAUUAGGUCCAAAUACCAAAUAUAAAUAUAUUUCAACAAUUAAAACAAUAUUUGGCUAGGACAAAGGGAAGAAUUAAUCAUAAAAUUAAUAAUAAAUUAUGCUCUAUCAAUUCCCCCACAUCUAAACCAUGCUUGUCCUCAAGCAUGAGAACAACAAUUCAGCAAAUAAACUCAAACAACAGUCAUUACUCAAACCAUCUAUUGCCAAGAUGCAAUUAAAACACAUGCCGUGUGUCAAUGUCUAAGUUCCAAGACAUAUUCUCUGGUUAGUUCCCAAAAUCAACGACUCAUCCAAUCAAUGACUAACUAAUCUAAGAAGUUAGAAUAUUAAACCAACAUUUAUCAGCAAAUGGUCUAACUGUUAAUCAAAAUCUUAACAUCAAACCCAUGGAUCAGCAAGUUAACAUUAUCAACUGUAUACUUGCACAUCUUUCAUAUAUAUAUAUAUAUAUAUAUAUUCACAAAUUUUCUUCUUCGUCUCUCUCUUCUUUUUUUUAUAGAACACAUGGCUUAGUCCUUAGCCAUUCAAGCCUUUUGAUGUGAACUCCGACGUUUGCCAAAUAAAAGAGCCCGGUUACUCAGCCCUUAUCGCUUAAAAACCACAUACUCAUAGCUAUCGUCGCUUUUUGAUGCGAAAGUUGACACUUUUGGUGAUAACUACCGGUUACUAGGCAAUGAUGACCAGCGGAGUAUAACCAAAUAUGAUUCACAGAUUAGCAACAAAAUAAAAUUAAAGAUCACAAGCCCGCUUCAUUUCUUAAACAUGGAGAGCUAAAAUUAAUAGUAGAACCAAUUUACAUAGUAAAUGCCAGUAAAUAUUCACACUACCUAAACAAGUUAGUCAAGAACCGCAAAAGUCACAAAAUUUUCAACAUUCACCAAAGAAAUAUGCUUAAAACUCGCCACAUCAGACUUGACUUAUAAGAGAAACUUAGCAAUAGAGAAACUUGAGCCGUUUAAUCGUUGUUGAUCACAAACGACCAAAAAAUUGCCCAAAAGUGACAAAAAGAAAAAGAAAAUAAAAACACCCAAAAAUUGCUAGCUGUCCUAACACCCCCCACACAUAAACAUUACAUUGUCCCCAAUGUAACUAGAAAGAGCAAAAAGGAGAAAAAGGAACAAUUAAACUUCCCUGAACACGUAGUUGAUGGUCUCGAGUAGCUAUGGAAUAAGUGGGAAUGGUGGUGUAAGAGGCGCAACCGUAGAAGGUCCAAUUGCGUCAUAGGUAGUUCCCAUAUCAUUCAAUUUACCUACACCAAGAACUCACAAUGAAUCAAAAUUCUCUGCAGAUAUCAAUCAAGUAAAUCAGGGAUAGUAACUAUGGCCAUGAAAUCAGCAAUCAAUGCACUAAGUAUUAUAGUUGCUUGAUUGAACAAAUAAAUGCACAAUUCUGCCAACUACAAGUCAGCAGAGGCCCGAAUACUGUUGCAACUUAAAUCAACAGUCAUAUGGCAUCAAGAAUUCAAUAAAAUAAUUUAACAGGGACCCAUAAACCAAAAUUCAACACAGAACCCAAAACUCCCCAACCGCCGCCACACCAACUCUCUCCCGCCUCCCUCGACUCCUGACGCCGAACGAUGCCAACCGCCGUUGCUAUCGCAUCUCCACCCUCGCUGCCGCUCCACGCAUGCCGCUCAGACUGGGACCACCAUCGCCGUUGCCCAUGCUGCCUUCGCUGCUCACUGUCCACGCCACCGCUAGCCAUCACCCACAGUCAUCCGCUUGGUAUCUCUGGUAUGAAGUGGAGGUAUUUGAUUUUUCCAAUUUAUUGGCUGACUUUCUAGGGUAAAUUACUUAUUUUUAGAGUGCUAUUUCUGGAAUAGAUUUCUAGAUUGAAUUGGGCUAAAUUUAAUCACCCCUCACUUAUCCAAAGUGAUUAAUUCAUUUUUGGUGAACUCAAAAGUGAAGUAGAAUUCACAACACAGCUCCUUAAAUGUAGGGUAAUCAAUGACUAGAUACCGCUGCCAACCUAUUGCUGAGAACAACUGUUCAACUCUUCGUGCAAUUUGCAAAUGAUCCAGGGUUGGGGCAUGUGAACAUUUACACGGAGCAAAAGGACGGUGCACCAAACUAUUGAAUCGGUCCUGUUGUUCCCGUGUAAGGUCAGUGAUAGGUUCCCCCCAGUUUUCAGGAGAUAGAGUACUCUUAGAGAGGCCUAAACGGGAUUGAAUGGGGGGUUGAAUUGGGGCUCGCCUCUUACGAGGUUAGGACCCAUAUGGACUAGCUGUUGUUGCCAUUUUCAAAGGUAUUCGAAGACCACAGAAAUGAAUAUAAAUAGGCACAGAAAUAGCGAGACAACCACCAAAUGGGGACAAGGGACCACCGACAAUAGAUAGUACUCAAUAGUCAGCAGUCCAAUAGCAAAGAGAAGCACAGUGACCCCACCAGAACAACGACAAGUCAAUGCAGACACAAAGAUGCCUCCACUAGCGUCACUUGGCAAAUAACAGUAAAGACAGCAGAUUCGAGGCCCCAAAAUGAAAUUAACAGGCAAUUAUAUUCAACAAAGGGGUGAAUCACCAACCACGUAUAUCAAAUCUUAGAUUCACCAGACCCCACAGAUAUUGUAAGCCCAAAUCCGGAUCAAAUAUAGCAACAAGACCCCAAAUGCGAAUGACCAGUAGCAAAAAUAAAGGAAAAAAGGGGUACCACUUUACCAUACUAGAGGAGACCGCGGUGAAGACGCACGGCAAGAGGGAGCGUCGUGAGGGCUGUGCGCGCGAGAGAGAGUUACUGGGCGAGCUAGGCGUGCAGGAGAAGGCUGGUGGGCGCGCGGCUGCUGGGCACGUACAGGGAAAGGCUGCGCAUUGCUGGAGAUGCGCGCUGCGCUGGUUGCGCACGCGUCGCGCUGACAGGCUCGCAGAGUGAGCGGCGUGCGCUGGUUGCUGCGUGCGUCGCUGGGCUGCAAAUCUCGUUGGCAGCGGAGUGAGCAGCAGCAGACAGGCAACAGCGGCGGGCGAUCGUUGGCGGUGCGGGUAGCGGCGCCCCGUGGGAGAAUGUGGUAGCGUGCUGCAGCCUCAAAGAACGAAAGAGAGAGAGAGAUUGGGAAGAGAGAUAAACGCGCGGCCGUGGCUAGGAGAGAGGUGGUGGUGCUGGCUGGCGAACGGAGGCAGCGAACAAGAAAAGGAAAAGAAGAAAUUGAAACCAAGACAAAAUAAGAAAAUGAAAGAGUAGAAGCUAAAACAACGGACAUUGACAAGACUAGACAAGACAAGGAAAAGAGAAAAGUAAAAAAGUGGGGUUAGAGAGGUCAUGGUCAAUUUUUGACUUCCGUUAUCGCAAAGGUUGGAAGGCGUGGGCACGCCUUGGAGGUCGAGGUCUUUUGAUUACCAAGUUUUACAAAUGUCCAUGCGCUGUGAAUACAAGCCGUGGGCACACCUUGUAAUAUGAAAUCUUCUGCCCACGAAUUUGUGCCCCCAACCCUGAAUAAAACUACACAAAAAUGCCCAUGACUUGCAAUACAGAUUGUUUGUCAAAAAGAAAAUAAACCCACUGAUCUUGAACACCUAAACAUGAAAUAAAACACAAUUAAAAUUCUUAGAUUGUCUUCCAAGUAGUGCCUUUCUUUAACGUCUUUGACUAGACACAGUAAUAGCUAGUUAAGCCUUACAAUUUGGAUAAUCAAGGUAUAUGACCUUCACUUGCUCACUAUUAAACCCCUCAUAGUAGGGUUUCAGAUGGUGAUCAUUUACCACGAACUUCUUCUCCAUUUUCAAACUUCGGAUUUCCACUGUACCAUAAUGGAAAAUAUUAGAAAUGACAAAUAGACCAAUCCAACGCGAAUGCAACUUAUUGGGAAAAAACUUAAGUCUCGAGUGAUAAAGGAGGACUUUUUGCCCUAUUACAAAUGACUUCUUUGAAACUUGUUGAUCGUGAAAGAUUUUGCUCUUCUCCUUAUAAAUUGCUGCAUUCUCAUAGGCUUCAUUUCGUAGUUCUUCUAGCUCUUGUAAUUGGAACUUUCUAUGUCCUCCGGCAUCCACAAGGUCCAUGUUACACCGCUUAACUGCCCAAAAUACCUUAUGUUCAAAUUUUACUAGGAGGUGGUAUGGCUUCCCAAAAACUAAUCUGUAUGGGGACAUUCCAAUCGGCGUUUUAUAUGCGGUGCGGUAACCCCAUAGAGCAUCUACCAAUUUCAAAUUCCAAUCUUUUCUAUCAGGCCGCACCAUCUUCUCCAAAAUUGACUUAACCUCCCUAUUUGUCAGUGGAUGAUAGGAUGUGGAUACUUUAUGAAGUACGCUAUACUUACGGAACAAGGCAGUGAUCGUUUUAUUGCAAAAAUGAGUGCCCCUGUCACUCACUAUAGCUCUCGGCAUUUCAAAGUGGACAAAAAUGUUAGAUUUUAUGAAUUUUACAACCACUCUUGAAUCAUUAGUCCGGGUGGCCUUUGCCUCCACCCAUUUGAAAACAUAAUCGACAGCAAGUAAAAUGUAUAAGAAAUCAAAAGACGAGGGAAAGGGACCCAUGAAAUCUAUACCCUAGACAUCGAAAAUUUCAACAAACAACAUGGGGGUUUGAAUCAUUUGAUCUCUACGAAAAAUAUUCCCCACCCUUUGACACUUAUCAUAAAAUUUACAAAACAAAUAUGCAUUUUUAAAUAGAGUAGACCAAUAAAAACUACUCUCCAAUACCUUACAUUCUGUUCGCUUUGGUCCAAAGUGCCUUUCACAUGCAAAUGAAUGAUAAAAAGUCAAAAUAGAAUGGAACUCACCGGCACUUAUACACCUUCUUAUCACUUGAUCCGAGCAUUGCCUCCACAGGUAAGGGUCAUUCCAAAUAUAGUAUUUGGCGUCGCUUUUCAAUUUAUCUCUUUUAGCCUUUGGCCAACCUGCAGAUAAUUGAUUUGUUAUCAAAAAAUUGACAACAUCAGCAUACCAAGGUACCGACGAAUCAAUGGUUAGUAACUUUUCCUCAGGAAAUGAUUCUCUCAAUGCUAGAUCCUCCUUAUUCGUAAGCAAACGGCUCAAAUGAUUAGCCACCAAGUUCUUGACCCCACUCUUAUCCUUAAUCUCUAAGUCGAACUCUUGUAGAAGCAAAAUCUACCGUAUGAGCCUAGGUUUUGCGUCCUUCUUCGCUAACAAAUACCGCAAGACUGCAUGAUCAGAGAAAAUAAUUACUUUUGCACUCAAUAAAUAUGAUCUAAAUUUUUUAGUGUAAAAACAACAGUUAGUAAUUCUUUCUCUGUCAUGGAAUAGUUAAAUUGAGCUCCACUGAAUAUUCUCGACACAUAGUAAAUCGCGUGUGUCGCCUUGCCAAUUCUUUGCCCUAACACGGCUCCUACGGCAUAAUCACUAGUAUCACACAUUAUUUCAAAUGGCAGGUUUUAAUCUGGAGGUUGAAUGACGAGCGGUGAUGUUAAUGACUCUUUCAAUUUAUCAAAAGCCACCUUGCAUUCACUGGUGAGCUUGAAUGUAAUGUCCUUUUGCAGCAACUUGAACAGGGGUGCUCCGAUCUUUGAGAAAUUCUUGAUAAACCUCCUAUAAAAUCUUGUCUGGUCCAAAAAAGAACGUACUUUCUGUACACAUGCGGGAUAAGGCAAAGCAGAAAUGAGAUCUAUUUUUGCUUUAUCUACCUCUAUUCCCUUAGCCGACACAACGUGCCCUAAGACAACACCAUAUUCCAUCAUAAAAUAGUAUUUUUUUCAAUUAAGGACCAAGUUUGUCUCUAUGCACUGUUUCAAAAUUAAAACUAGAUUAUUAAAGCAUUCCUCAAAACUAUCCCCAUAUACGCUAAAAUCAUUCAUAAAUAUCUCAAUAAUCUUUUCUACGUACUCGAAGAAAAUACUUACCAUGUACCUUUGAAAGGUUGCUGGAGCACUGCAGAGGUCGAAAGGUAUUCUCCGGUUGGCAAACGUACUAAAUGGGCAGGUGAAUGUGAUUUUCUCCUGAUCUUUCGGUGCUAUCGCAAUCUGGAAAUACCCUGAAAAACCAUCAAGAAAAUAGUAGUAAACACGACCAGCCAACCUCUCUAUCAUCUGAUCAAUAAAAGGGAGAGGAAAAUGGUCCUUUUUUGUUACGACAUUCAAUCACCAGUAGUCAAUGCACUGGCGCCAUCCCGUGGGCUUCCUGACCGGAACUAUCUCACCUUCAUGGUUCUCUUCUACAGUCACUCCCGCAUUUUUCGAGACCACUUGAAUGAGACUUACGCAAGAGCUGUCCGAGAUAGCAAAGAUAAUUCCCACCGCUAGGAGUUUAAAUAUAUCCUUUUUCACUACCUCCAUCAUCAGUGGAUUCAAUCUUCACUGCGCCUGUCUUACCGGUUUCGCAUCAUUUUCUAACCGAAUCCGAUGCAUGCAUAAGAAUGGACUUAUUCCUUUAAUGUCUGCUAUACUCCACCCAAUCGCCUCCUUAUGAUCCCUAUGGAUUCGCACCAGUUUGUGCUCUUGACUUGGAGAUAAAUGUGCAGAAAUGAUCACUGAAAGCGUCUCUCGAUCUCCUAGGAUUGCGUACUUUAGAUGCUUCGGGAGAGGCUUAAACUCUAACUCUGGCGCCUGCAUAACUGAAGGCAACAACUUUGUUUGAAUUUCUGGCACAAAAAAAGAAGUAAACUCAUACCUUAGAGGAAUGGUUGGAAGUGAAUGUAAUGCUUCAACUGCACAGUGCAACUCAUCCCUCAUGUCCACAUUAAGAGUUGCACCCAAUUCAAUAGGUCUAGUCAAGACCACUUCCAAUGCGUCAUUACCCUCUAAUUCGAAAGUUUCCUGUACAAUGAGCUCAAUAACACUCAAAGUAAAGACUGAAUUAGAUUCCUCCGGAUACUUCAUCAUCUCAAAAAUAUUGAAGUUUACAAUUUCGCUAUCAAAUUCCAUUGAUAAAGUACCCUCAUUCACAUCUAUUUUAAUUCUAGCAGUGCUGAGAAAUGGUAUACCUAACAAGAUAGGUGACGGAUUUAACGAUCUUUCAUCUCCCAUAUCUAAGAUAUAAAAGUCUGCUGGAAAAACUAACUCAUUUACCUGAACCAAAACAUUCUCAACUAGCCCCUCUAGAUAAGCAUUGGUGCGGUCAGCUAGUUGGACUAUGAUGACUGUUUUUUUUAGUGGCCCAAGAUUUAGGGAAGCAUAAAUGGUUUUUGACAUCACGUUGAUGGAUACCCCUAAAUCCAACAUUGCUUUCCUAAUCGGUGCAUUUCCUAUUUUACAUGGGAUUGUGAACAUACUUGGAUCUCCACACUUGGGUGAGAGUUUUUUUUGGAGUAUAGCCGAUACAUUCUCUCCCACCGCUAAUCUUUCGUUCCCUCUCAACUUCUUCUUAUGGGUGCAUAAAUUCUUGAGAAAUUUUGCAUACUUCGGUACCUACUAAUUGCCUCCAACAAGGGGAUUUCUUGAUUUCUAUUUUUCGGAAUACGUCCAGAAUUUCUUUUUCCUUCUCCGCCUUCUUGGUCUUUGCCAACUUGCAUGGAAAAGGAGAUAUAUUAGAUUUAAUAGGAAUCGAGGGAGUAAGAGUUACUUCAGAGUUUCCACGACUGCAUCCUUCCUCUUCAAUCUCCUUGUCGAUCUCUUCUUCACUUUUAUUCUUUAGAUUCGUGGCCUUAGACCCCUUCACUUCUCAGGGUCAUGGCACUUACAUUGUUGGGGUUUACCUCGGGUUGCGAUGGCAAUUUUUUAAAAACUUGGGACUCUAAAUUAUUAAUUACAAUUGUCAUGUGGCUUAUUUGAGUCUCCGGAUUUUUCAUGCCGGAUCUAGUUUCCUACUGGAACUGAGCAGUGCUCGUGAUUAAGGACCUUGUUUCUUGCUGGAACUGAGUAGUACUCGUGGCCAAAUUCUUGACAAUAUCCUCCAAAGAACCUCCUGAAUUGGAGGACGAAAAUUGAGGAUUUGGUUGCCAUGAUUACUGAAAUCCUGGUGAACGAUUUGAAAAUGAAUUCUGUGGCCUGUUCCCAUAGUUGAAGUUGGAGUGGUCUAUCCAACCGGAUUGUACGUGUUUGAGUAUGAAUUGUACUGCCUACGAGGCGCGGGCAUGGCUCCAGCCAUGUUUACUUGUUCAGCCCCAUCAUCUUGCAAAAUAGGGCAUGAGUCAGUGGGGUGGCUCACAUUUGUGCAAAUUUCACAGACCUUUGCUUGAUGCACGUUUCCCACAGCUAACUGCUGAACAAAAGAUGUUAGCUCCCAUAGUUGCUGCUGAAUGGACGACGUCUCUGCCUCGUUAACCCUACGGGUAGGGUUACUCUCGCGGAAGCCAAACUAUUGAGAAUUUUCUGCUAUCGCUUCAAUAAGCAACCAUGCUUCUCUCGGUGUCUUAUUUGUCAGCGCUCCUUUACUCGCAGCAUCAAUGAUACUUCUGUCAGAUGACUGAAGUCCCUCAUAGAAGUAUUGGAUCAAUAGUUGUUCACUAAUUUGAUGUUGUGGGCAUCUAGUGCAUAACUUAUUGAACAUUUCCCAAUAAUCAUAUAGGGACUCUCCAGAGUAUUACUUAAUGUUGCAUAUCUCUUUUCUCAGACUCGCAGCCUAGGAUGCAGGGAAGAAUUUUUCCAAAAAUUUCUUUUUCAGCUGGGCUCAUGUUGUGAUACUACCUGCAGGUAGGUAGUAUAACCAAUCCUUCACUGCAUUCUUGAGGGAAAAGUUUGAUCUGUUUUUCAAUAAUUCCUGGAGGCUUUAUACUAGAACAUACCAUAUCGAACUCCUGGAUAUGUUUAUGGGGUUCCUCUCCCGAAAGGCCAUGAAAUGAGGGUAAGAGGUGAAUUAACCCCGACUUCAGUUUGAAAGAGGUAUUUUCUGCUAGAGUUGGAAAUGUAAUGCACAAAAGCUGCUGGAUCAAUUCCGAAGCAGCCAACUCCCUUAGUAUUCUUGCAUUUGCUAUAGGGAUGUUCUCUUGGCUUGGGUCACUUGAAUUAUCACCACUCGAAUCUGUUGAUUCAACUUCAGGAUCCAGUCUCUGAGAUGCAGUGCUAGAUUGCUCCUCUCUGAGCUGUCUAGUUUCUUUCCUAGUUUGGCACGCAGUCUUUUCUACUUUCGAGUCGAAAAUCAAUUCACCUGUACGAGAAAAACGAGACAUAAACUAAAAAAAUGCCAGAUAAAUCCAAAGAAGACACUUAGAACAAAACAAAAUUAAUCAAAACAUCGUUCUCCGGCAACGACGCCAAAAAUUGACAGGUGUCGAGUUUGUGUAAUAAUAAUUACUAAAAAGUCCUAAUUACCAUUACAAUUAAUUAUAGAAAAAAUUCAAGUAUUGGAGUAGGGACCCUAAGUGUGCAAUGGAUUAUUUGAUUCACCCUAUUUUCGAAAAAUUUGCCUGAUCCGAUAUGCCAGAAUUAUCUAUAAAAGUAUUAAAUUUGCAUACAAUAGCAAGUAGGGUCGAUUCCAUAGGGAACAGAUAGGACGUUGUUUCUUUCCAAAUCAAUAGAACAAAAUUGGGGGAUAUUUAAUGGAAUGAAAAUAAAAAUAAAAUAAAUAAAAUUCAAAAGCUAACUCACCAAGUACAAUUUACUAAAAAAAUAGCAAUUACUAAAAUUCUACCUAAAUGAUCAACUCUUCAGGCACAGUCCAAUUAAAUGAUCAUCGAUGCAAAGAUAUUUCAUUCAUUUGUCAUUAGAUUGGUUAUAGCUAUCAACAAGCUCUGACAGUCAGUUUUUCCUGACUUUUUCGACAACCAAGGUACGACUGUUGACUGCUUCUCUAACCAAAAAAUAAUCCUAAAUACGACCGUAGGAAUUUAAUUCUCCAGUUGCAUUAAAGUUAGAAAAAUUCAACCCUAACCAAUAAACACACUAAGAGGGUUUAUUUAAACUAGAUCUUACGCUUCCCCAACACAAAGUCAAUUAUGAUAGUUGUCACUAUUUAUCAACUAAACGAACAAUUACGGAUUCAAUUUAGUUACUGUGACAGUAGGCUAUUAAAUUAAAUUAAAUAUCCGGCCGUUGAUACUCAAUUAAUAAAAUAACCAUAAAUAGUUAAUCCAGGAAACGCACGAAUAGUAACGGAUUGGAAGAAAUAGUGAAAGUUCAAUUAGAUCUCACAAAUGUUAUGGACCGCGCCUUCACGUCGACUUUUGGAUAGAGGAGAAACCUAACCGCUCCUUAUCGUAUCAAUCUCGCGUGGGUUGAUUGUUAUCAUCCACUUAAUUGUCAAAGAAUUGGAAAAGAUGAAAAUAAUGAAGGAGUCAAACGGAAAGUCUGGCUUUUCUUUAGGUUUCGUGUUCGUACUCGAGACAAAUUGAAGCAGCGAACAACAUUUAAAGGAAAUCAUCCAAAAGCUAAAAAUAAAGAGCAAAAUCGUCUGACAGGAAAAAGCAAAAGCCAAACUAUUAAUCACACGUAAAUUUGGCUUUUCUACUAUUCGUCGCAGAUUGCCGCCGUUGAAAAUUGUCAAAGCUCAAAAGCUCUUUUUGUAGCCUUCAAACCCUUGGUCUCCUCUUUCUCUUGCUUGCCCAUGUGAAUCUGGCUUUUCUUUUCUCUUUCCCCCAAAAAUCCCUAAGUAGCCGCCGAAAAGAAAGAAAGCAUCAGAGCUUCCUACUUCCUCUUAGGAAAUGAGUUUUAAUCCACUGCAUCUUCACGGCCCACGAGCCCUUUUGAUUUCCUAAUUUUUUAUUUUUUUUUGCCAAACCUGCGGGGUCCGUCUUUUAGGUGUAUCGUUUCAGUUUCUGGCGUGGGCACACCAGGAAAUAAAGAGUCUUCUGGAAAUUUGCCUCGAGAGAGCACUUUUGACACCAACCACCUACAAUUUACACAAAUAUCAAAUAUGAGCAAAAUCUCAAUACUUAGCAUAGUAAGUAACCAAAAUUAUGACCAAAUAAUAGCACAAAAGAUGCCCAAUAAUUGCUCUAUCACACCUCACCGCCGUCCGCCGUCCAACCUCGCGAGUGCUGCCACCUACCACCUCGUCGCACGCCAACGUGCGCGACCAGCUGGCGCCACCUCGCGCGUGACCCUCAUUCUCUCUUCCCUCGCGUCCGUCGCUCGCCGCCGUUCUCUCCCACUUCGCUUGCUCGCACGUAGUCGCCAGCCCACAUUCCACAGCAACCCACGAUUGCCAGCAGCCCCAACAGCUAGCUCCCACCUCUCCGUAGCAGCCCCCAGCUCCCCUCCGUCGCGCGACCACCGGGACGCAGCAACCCUCGCUUCCCCUCGCGUACGACUGCCGUCGCCCGUCGUAGGCAGGUGCCGACUUCUCCCCAACACCGCAGCAGCCAAUUGAUGCGCUUCGCUCCCCCACGAUCGCUGCCACGAGCGAGCCCAGCAGCUCGCUCGCCAUCGCCAACUGCUGGACGACGUUGCUCACGCCACCCAUAGCCACGCCGUUCCCACCUAUCCAUUUUUGACAAGUGGAAGUAUUCUAUUCUUCCUACCGACAAUUUAUUCAUCUGGGACUAUCAUUCGUUAAUUUUUGUUGCCUUUUUCCUAAUUGGUUGCCCUAUAUUGCACUUUUGGAGUUAAUAUUUGAUGGCACCUCUGACAGUUCAUUUAUUUGGGGGUGAUUGGGGAGUUAAUUGGAAAUUGAUCACCAUUUCUGUUUCUUCUAAUUUUUGGUUCUGAUUAGUGUUGUUUGGUUUUGUCGGUGUUUUGGGUUGGCCAUUUGAGUUGUUUCUUAUCUGUAGGUGCACCAGUGGUACUGGUUGGGAUAUUUUGACUACAUUUGUUGCUUCUAUUUGGUCGACUCUUGUUUGAAAGCUAAAAACCUUGUGCAUCUAUUUGCUCUUAGUUGAGUUGUGUAUUGGACUGUCAAAUUGAUGACAUUUGUUGGGGUUUUAGGGUGAGCACAUUUUGUCAUUAUUUGUUGAUUGUUCGGGGACGUUUUUGGUAUCACUUGAGUUUAUUUUGUUGAUUUCUGUCUUGAGUCCAUUGAAGUGCCGUUGGUUGGGUAAUUUCGACGUCUGUUUGUUGAAUGGAAGGCUACUGUGACAUUUCCAUUGCUUAGUGCUGAUUGGUUGCGUCUCAUUGACUUGCUUGGGGUAUUCUGUUUAUUAACUUCAACUACUAAGUCUUUUGGACUGCAAUGUUUCUGCAUUUGGCUAAAUUAGGAUCGUCAGUACUUAUUAAUUGCAAUUGUGCUCUUUGUUGAUUGGAGUGACAUUUGGAGAGAAUGGUGAGGCCACGGUCCUCCUCUAGAUCUAGGACACCUAGAACCUCUCAGUUACCCCCACCCCAGCCCUCCAUUCCCGUCUCUGACCCCUCGCAUGACCCUUCUUCCUCCGGAAGGAGGGCUCGCCUUAGGAGGUAAAAAGGCGUCCAUAUUUCUGACUCUUCACAUUUUGGGGAUAAUUUGAACUUCACCAGGGCCGCCGACAAGCAGCGAUAUGCUGCUUGUUGUGAACAGCGGAUUAUUCCCUGCCGAUAUCGGGACGCCACCACCUUGGGUCUUUUGAAUAUUAUGGUUGAUUUUGAUCGAUUAAUUGCAGCCAUUGGGUGACGUCCCUAUUCUAAUAUUGUUUACCGUCCGACUUUUGUAGAGUUGGUUAGGGAGUUUUAUGUCACAUUUGAGUUCGACCUUCCCACUGGUUACACAGUUUCUACCCCUAGUGUCAAUCGUUUUCGAUUAAUGGGUUAAGAGUUCCACCACUCCAUUACUGAUUGCAAUCUAGCCCUUGGUUUUAUUGAUCAGGCCUAUGCCGAAUCCCAUGAAUAUGCCGAGAGUGCGUACGACUAUAUAGAGCCCUUUUUCUCCCACUAUCGGUAUAUUUGAGAGGAUAUGUCCGUAGACCGUGCUGAUUAUGACCCUCGUCAGUCUAAGAGUUCUUAUCUGAAGGACCCGGCGUCUCGCUAUAUCCAGCGUUUCUUGGCCUAUAGUUUCUCGGGUAGGCGAGAUAGCUCGGGCAUUUUGCCUAAACUAGAGUUUUUCUUUUUUUGGUACAUGCAUAAUAACAUUAAUGUUAAUUUGGGGUGCUAGCUCGUUUUUCAAUUCAAAUCUGUUUUGUCUAAAAAGAUUAUCCCCCUGAUUCUUGGGUCAUAUAUAACCCAUGUGGCUGUUAAUUUGCAUGUGCUUGAUCUCUCUAACCAUGAUUUGCAUGUAGCAUGUCAAAUGGAGCCCUUAGACAUUCCUUGUCUAGAGAAAAUGGGUUUGGUCCGGGAGGGUGACAGCGAUUGGGAGGUUACUCCCCCGGGACCGACUCGAGUUCCCCCUUGAUCCUUUUUUCCCUGAUCUUCUGCUGCUGGUGAUGACCCGUCUACCUCCUCUCAGUUUCCUCCAACCCCAGGGGGCUGAUGGCUGGAACCAACUCCAGGCGCAAGUUCAAAGAUUGGAGACUCGGGUGACCAACAUUGACGCCAACGUGGCAAACAUGGCACAGAAUUUGGCGGCGUUUAUGCACUACGCGGGUAUUGCACUCCAAUUUCUGCCUCACCCGCUGCUAUUUUGACGACUUCAGGGAGGUCCCGUUGCCCUUCUUCUUGGUUUUACGGUUUCUUUGUUACAUUGAGUGCAAUGUGUUAUUUAGGUGUGGGGGGGAUCGACUAUAGUGUUGUUAUUUUUAGUUUUUAUUUUUUCAGAUGUUUUUGUUUUAUUUUUAGUUUGUUUUUUGUCUAGUUUUUGUUUACUUUUUUUGUAGUGAUCUGCUCUCCUAUGACUGCCAAGAUUUGAUGUUGGAUUGUUGAGUUUAAUUUUACUAUUGCCAAGUUUUAGUAAUAAAAGUAUAUCAAGUUAAUGUAGUUGAGUCCAAGAACAUCUCUUUGGUGAAUAUUGGUGAUUGUGUGACUCUUCUAAUUUUUGGUUAACUUUUCUAGGUAUUGGGAAUGAUUGUUGGGAUUUUCAUAUGAAUUGGUCCAGUGAUUAACUUUAGUUCUCCAUGUUUGAAAACAAUGAGGCUAGCUGCAGCUAUUUUCUUUGUGAUAUUGUGAGUUAUUGUGUUAUUUGGUUGUAAAUAAGAGUUGACUGUAUUCCGCUAGUUGUUACUACUAAAUAACCGGGGAUCUUCACCAAAAGUGUCGAUUCUCGCGUCAAAAAGUAUAAUUGCUAUGAGUAUACGGUCGCAUGGCGAUUGGAGCUGAGUAACCGGGCUCUUUCAUCUAACAAAUGUUGGAGUUCGAGUCAAAAGACUCUAAUGGCUGGAGACUAAGUCUUUUAUUACUAUUAAAAAGAAAAAAAACAACUAAAAAAAAUCAAAGAAAAAGAGAGAAAAGUGGAAAAACGUGAAAAAAGGGGUGAAGAUUGUGUCAGUGUAUGAUAAAAGCCAGCUUGCCGAUUUGUGAAUUUAUUGUUGAGAUUUUGGUUAAUAAUUGGAUCAUUUGCUGAUAAAUGUUAAGCGACCAUUCCUUCUUCUUAUUCUAGUUUGCCUUAACUUGGAGGAGUUUGUGGUUUAGAAGCUAACCGGAGUGGUGUUUCUUGGACUUGGCCAUUGAUGCUUGAUUUAUGUUUUUCUUGGUAUCUUGGCAAUAAGGUAGAUGGAGCAAUAGUCAUUGUCAAAUAUUGGUGUUUGUUUACUGUUCUUAUGCUUGAGGACAAGCAUGGUUUAGGUGUAGGGGAAAUUGAUAGGUUACAAUUUUAUCAUUUAUUUUAUUAUUAAUUUCCCCUAUUGCCUGAUCUGAUGUGGAUUAAUUGUUAGAUUCUACUCAUUUUUAAAAAUUUGCAUUUAUUACAGGGAGUAGAACGAAAAUACCACAACAAAUGCUAAUUCGACAGUCACCAGGAAAGAGUUCAAAUAGCAGGCAUCCAGGGGUAUUUUUGGAAUAUUAAGACGCGACCCCUUUUUGGUAAUUUACGGAAGACAGCAUUCAAGAGAAAAAGGAGGGCUGGAGUCUUCUUCUUUGGCAGAGGUGGACGCCGCAGAGGAGCAGUAGGCAUUAGAUAGAAAUUAGAAAUAGCAGACAACUAGGACUACUUGGUAGCUAGCUUUUUGACUUUUGUCUUUAGUUUUUGGGUAGCUUUACCUCUCGUAUGUCAGAUGCAAUUAGAAAGACAAACAAAUCAUUCCCUGUAGCUUUUCUUUUUGACGUUUGCUUUUCGUCCUUUGUGGCUCUCCUGCCUCGUAUGUCUGGGACAAUUAGAAACAAUUGAAUCAAUCGCUGUGGCUGGCUCAUCCUUUGUAAUUCGAGCAAAUUGAAUUCUCCCGAUCAAUGACAAAGGCCGCAAUUGUUCUUUCCGCUUUGUGAGGGUGUUCCUCAUUAGGGAUGAACUAAAUCCCUUUUCUAGUCAAGAAACAAUGGAGGCUUUGGUUCAUCUAAAUUGUGAGAUCAAUUUAAUUUUAUCUUUUUCUUUUAUUUAUUGGUACUCACAUAUUCUCUGAUUACCGUGCUUAUGGUUGUUCAAUUAAUUGAUUGUCUUGGAUCCGGAUAAUUAGUUGAUUUGCUAAUCUAUUGUCAAUUGGGAUAUUAAAUCCGUAAUUGUUUAAUUGCCUUGAAAUAGUGACAACUGGCAUGAUUAGGUUUGUGUCAGGGGAAUACGCAGGCUAAUAUAAAAUAACCCUGGUAGUGCGUUAUUUUGUUAGAAUAGGGCUCCUCCAACACGUAAGGCAAUUGGGGAAUUAAAUCUUACGGGCGUACCUAGGAUUAUUUCUCAAUUAGAGCAGUGAUUAACGGGCGUACCUUAAUCACUGACACAGUAAGGAGGGGUUGACUGUCAUCGUUUGUUUGACAGUUAUAACCUAUUUAUUAGUAAAUAAUUGGAAUUAUCUUUGUAUCGAUGAUCAAUUAGAUAAACCAUUGCUGAAGUUAUUUCUUGGCUAGACCUUUAGUUAUUAUUACUCUAAUUUUAGUAAUUUGUCAUUUAAUCUUUUGUUGGCUAUUUAUUUUUAUUCGAACCAUUUACUUAUUGCCAUUGCUAUAAAAAAAAUCCCCCCUUGUUACUUUGAAUAUCAAAAAGAGACAAAUAUCUCCAGUCCCUGAGGAUAUGACUCUACUUGCCCUGUUUACAUAUUAAUAAUUAUUUGUGAAAAUGCCAUCCCAUUCGGGUAUAUCGGAUCAAGCAAACUCUUCGGGAAUAAAGUGAAUCAAGUAACCCAUUGCACACCUAGAGUCCCUGCUACAAUAUUUGGAAUCGGAUUUUGAUUACUUUAAUUGGCAAUUAGAUUUAUUUUUAUUAUUACACGGGCAUCGACAACCUGUCAAGCUGCCAUAAAUUUUUGCUUUUAAUCCUAUGUGGUCAUUUCCUUGGAUUCUUUUUUUUUGCCUUCGUUACUCCUGUUCGGCAUCCGCCAAUUUCUGAAGUAGUGACAGGCAUAUCCAUAAGUACAAUAAUAGUACACAAGGAACAUAUUAUACCCUACAACUCAUUGAAAUACAAACUUUUAGUAUUUAAAAACCCACUUGCGAAUUGGAAUUCUUAGUAUAUUGGACUUGUACUCUUGCAAUCAUUCAUUAUUUUUGGCAUUUAAUUUUUGCAAUGAGAAUUGUUUUCAAAUUACCUAUAAGUAUAUAUGUAAAUUGACUUUCCACAAAUUAAUUAAAAUAAAAUAAAAAUCUUUAGCCUUGAAAUGACCAUUUUCAUUUAGCCAGUGGAGGCACAUUUGUCAUUUAAUAAGACAAAAAUUAAACCUUGUUAAAAAUACGAUGACUAAAACUGUGGCUUCGUUUGGAUUAGUCUAUUUUUUCACAAACUAUUUUUGUUUGCAAAAUCUACAAUAACAAUCUCCACAAACAAAUCCAAAAGUACUGUUGCGCCCCAUUUUUAAAAAAAAUAAAAUAAAAUAACGGGUUUAUAAAAAUGAAUUUUUUAUUGAUUUUGAUUGAAAAUGAGUUUUUGAUUUUUAGAAAAUAAAUAAAGAGAAAUGGAUUAUACAAAAUUAAAAACAAAUAAAGUGAAUAAAAUGCCUCUCAAAUAAUCAAAAAUUAAAUUAUACAAAAUUAAAAACAAAUAAAGUGAAUAAAUAAUAAAAUAAAAUAAUUCAAAAAAAAGAGACAUGCAAUUACACAUAUAAAAUCAUAUAGGAACACAUAAGAGGAUUUAAAAAUAACACAAGAGAAUACCUCCCUUUGAAGUAGUAGCUAAUGAGGGAUUGGAUUGUCCUAUUUAACUCAAAAAUUAACAAAAAUCAUCACCACACCAAUUUAAUUAACAAAUAAAAACAAUAACAUGUAAAGAAAUGAAAUUGAUUAAUUAAAACAUUUAAAUGAAAGUAAACAACCUAUAUUCAAAAAAAUUAAAACAAGUAGGGAUCUAAUUAAAAAUAAGAAAGUUUUAGGGGUUAAUUUGUAAUUUUCAUAAAGAUUUGGUCAAAAUUGAAGAAAAAUAAAGUUUAGGAACCUAUUUGCAGUUAAAUUAGGGACCGAAUUGAAAGAAAUCAAAGGUUUUAGAGCCUUAAUAUAAUUAUAAACAAGUAUAGGAACUGUUAUGCAAAUUUCGUUUUCUGGUUUCUUAAUAACAGGCCACGAGGCCACUUCUCUUAUUUAUUUGGGCCGAAAGUCCUCCCAGCCCAAUAAAAACCCAAAGCCCAAGGAGCGGGCCAGUCAACCAUUCUGACCCCAAAAUAAUCCAACAAACUAAUAGGCUUUAACCCUUCCAACCCAAGACAAACCCAAAGAAGAAAAGUGCCUAAUCCAAUUCCCAAUGACCCAAACAACGAAUCAAAUCUAAUUCCCCUUUUAUUUUACCAAAAUCCAACAAAGUAAUAGCUGAAAUAAAAAUGUUAAAGUCUAAUUUCAUCCCAAAAUCCAGAAUUAAUUAACUGAAAAGCACACUUAAAACAUAGAAAAGAAGAUUUAAGAUUAAAAGGCCUAAAAAUGAUUUAUUUGCAAAAGUUUUUGGGCUGUAGUGGGAUUAUCCGGGAGUUGGGGGUUAAAAUGAAAUUUUUGGAAAAACCCAUGCAACUGGUUCGAAGAGCCUUUUCCGUUCUGCAACUUUCUUCUGCGACUCCUGGGAGCUUAUCAUCAACUCAACAAAAAUUUCAAACAAUCCUUAAACACACGAAACCGAAUGACUACCUCAUAUCCUAUUAUCGUAACUCAACAUUGAAGGAAAUCAAGAACAGGAAAUCUAGAUAAAACAUAAAAAUGCAAGCCAAUGGCAGCAAAAGGAAACGAAAGAGAACAGCAAAUGAAUGUAAUAGCAAACGAAAAUGGAAGGAACCAGAGCAUUAGUUUAGGGGAGUACCUGAUGAAGGUUGUCGGAUCAAACUAGAAUAAGGGAACAGGCAAAAGAAGCAGCUAUAGUCAACUUCUCGAACCUUUGGACAUGCAUCAGUGAAACGGGAUCAGCCCAUUCAGGGCCAGAUUCGACGGUUCUACAGAUGUUUUUUCUCCAAGAUUUGUGAAUAAAAGUCGAUUCUCUAACUUUGUAGAUUAAGAAGAAAUUAAAAUUUCAUUCAACUAAGCUACAAUGAAAGAGAUAUUUGAGCCGAAAUAUGGCUGAAAAUCAGCCCUUUUUACCAAAAUUUUCUGCAAAUUCUUUCUCUUUCUCCCUCUCUUUUCGCUCCUUUCUUUCUGUUUUUCUUUCUUCCGCCUCCCCUCUUCUCUUGUUUUCGUCCUCUCCCUUUUAAACGAAACCAACCCAUUAAACCUACCAGCAAGGGCCCUGAUGAUCUAGAUUUUCUUGAAGUUUCAUUCUUGCCCAUUUGAUCUUUUGCCAGCUGUUUGAUGGAAUCUAGUGGUGAGGUGGCAUCUUGUACCCACAAAACUUAGAGAAAAAGAAAGGAAUAUUGAACCAGAAUUUGCUCCCAAAGAUGCCAGCUGCAUCUUGUACUGUGGCUUUUCCUUCUUCUGGGUUUGUACAAUUGAAGAAGAAGCAGCAAUGCACGCGCGCGUGGCUUCCACCCAACUUUUUUUUUUUUUGGCAAAAACUGAUUUUUCAUCUUUUUUUCUUUUCUUUUCUGCUUUUUUCUUUUCUUUCCAUUUUGAUUUUUCUAAAAAUGAUUUUUUUUCCAAAAGAUAGAAGUAAAACAAGUAAAUAAAAAUAAAAUAAAAUUUAACUAAAAUAAAUAAAAUGAUAAAAUUUUGGUGUCUACAAGUACACAUUUCAAAUAUAACUUAUAAAAACACAAACAACUUUUUAAAAAAUCUUACCACCUUUUCUUUUUCACCCACCACCGCCAUCACCCUCCCCUCUUCCAUCCUUCACUGUCACCGCUACCCCUUCCCCCUCCUCAAGAUUCGAACCCCGAACUUGAAUGCAGUGGAAAUUCUAAGAGCCGUCUUGUGACUGUGGCCCAACUUCAGUGGUUGCAACUUGCUAGUGAAGGUUGCUACUAGCCCACUGAACACAUGUCACCACAAGUAACUAGAGAAAUUAAAGGAAAAUGAAAACUUUUCACCAAGAUGACUGGAAUGAAAUUAUACAUAUGUUUUCCCGUCACAGUUAGGGGUCUUAAUUGGGCCUUAUGAGUUGGAUUUUGAAAAGUUCAAGUUUUGCUUACAAUUUUUGAAAAGUUCAAGUUCAAGUUUAGGGCCUUAGGACUCAGACUUUGGGCUCAAUCUGUAAAGUUCAUACUUGGGUCACCAAGAUGCAAGAGUUUCCGGUGCAAUUCAAGUUUGGCCCAAACUCCCAAUUAAUUCAUAAUUUUAAAAAUAAUAUGCAUGCAAUAUUUAUUUUAUUUUAUCAUUAUAUAUAAGUCAUAAACUAUUUGCAUUAUAAUAUAUAAUUAUUAAAUAACAUACAUCAUUAUGAAUAAAAAAAAUGUGUUUAUGUACUUAAUUGGUCGUGUCGGGUUGUAAUUGGGUUGAUCCUCUUUAAACCCAAACUCAGGUCACAAUUUAAUCAGGCCUUAUAACCUAGCCCUAUAGCCCAAUGAUAUGCAAGGCUUGACUCGAAUUAUUUUGAAUUGAUCAAGUGAGUUUAGGUUGAUCCAGCUCCGUUGAUAACUCUAAUUAAUCACAUCCGCUAUUUUUUACUUUCUUUGGAUACAAAGACAGCUUUCUUGCAAGGCACUGAAGCCUUUUUUUUUUUUUUUUUUUUUUUUUUUUAAAAUUUUCCUUCUACUCUCUUAAAGCCAAUCUUAUUACCAAUUAGUUUGUGCUUCUCAGACAAGACUAUUUCAUACAAUUUAUAUUAUUUUUCUUUUCAUGAUGGUUUUUUCAACUAUUUAUUGGUAAAAUAAUUAUUUUUAAAUACUCUAUUUACUUAAAAAUAUUUCAUCAAAUAAUGUGAGAAAAUAUUUAUACGUGUGCAUGACAAAAGAGACAUUCUACAUAAACAUUUUAUGAAGAGUGCAAAAAACUAAGCAAUACUAUCUUCGUUAUUGUGAUAAGAACAAUAAGUGUCUAUUUUGUAUAUUUUUAGUGUACUUUAUAGUUUAAUUUUGGUGCAUUUUAAUUAUAUUUAUAACUAAUUAAUUAGAUUUCUAGUGAAGUUUGCAUUUUGUGGUUUAACUAUGAAAAAUUGCAUUUCUAUGGAUUUAAGUGGUUAAAAUUUCAUGUUUUUGUUGGAUUUAAUGAUUCAAUCAUUAAUUGGUGUGAAGUGAGAAAAUAUUUGGAUGAUUCUUGAUGGUUUGAAAUGAUUUAAAGUAAAUAUGAAGUGCAAUAUAUUCAAAAGAUGAAAUGAAAUCAAAUUCAAUAGAAGGAAAUUUCAACAGUUUUCACAUCUUUUGAUAUUUUGGCUAUAACCUACGUUAUAAGCUUUGGAUUGAGAUGAUUCUUAAAUUAUUUUGAAUCUGAGACAUAGAUCAACAUUUCGUAUGAAGAAUUGAAAUCCCAUUCAAGCAUUCUGAUGGUCAAAAAGUUGAAUACAAUCGUGCAUUUAUGCUAUCAAAAUAAAAAACAAAGGUUUGACCAAUUGAGGCUAUUUCAGCCUAUAGACAUCCAAAUGAGAUGAUUAUUAAUGCAUUAGAAAGCUAAUUCAAAGGGUUACAACUUUUAUACUUUGUGCAAAAACUAGUUUAGCAUCGAUCAUUGAGAAUUUGUAGCUCAAAUUGAUAUAAAAACAGAGCAAUUUCUAGAAUCAUAAAAAAUGUCCCAAACCUGCAAAGGAGCAGUUACAGGGGUUGUUACAUGGCCUACCUAGCCCGCGUAAAAUUGAUUUUCGGCUAUGCAACUUGCUUUAUAACUUGCAAUUUGUUCACAUAACCUUUUUGGACCAUUUUUCUGAUCAAAUUCGGUGGGAACUACCCAAGGAGAUCAUGGAGACUUCAAGAAUCAACUUUUGGUGAUUUCAAAAAGCAAUUUGCAUCAACAUUAACAUCAUUACUUGGAGCUUGAUUCUUCUAUAAAUAGGCCCUUCAAAACACAUUUUUGCAUAACUUUGAAGGUUAGAUAAACUACACAAAAUGUAGUUUUUUUACUAGAACUUCCUAGUUCAUUAUUGUCGUAUAGAUUUGUAUAGUUAGUUGCAUCCAAUCCUUGUGUAUAGCAAGACAUAGAUGAAGUUGAGGAUGAAAAUGGAGAGCUUAAAGUUCAAGUGACAUGGGUCACAUCUCUUCCAUCACUCUAUUUCUUGUAUUGAUUUUUAUGUUUAGUUAUAAUACAAGUUUUCUUAACUUUCAUGUUUUGGUGGUUGUAUGCCUAGAGGAUGGAUGAACUUCUAUGAUUGUUAAGUGAAGUUUUCAUAGUUAUUUGAGUUUAUUUCUUGAGAAAGCUAUUAAGCACUUUUGCUAUUUCAAUCAUGAUUAACCUAAAUCUAUUAGUUGUGAUUACCUAAAGAUAUUGUUUCAUCAACAACUAUUGUGAUUCAAUACUAGUUCAUGAAAGUGUUAAAUCAAAGGAGUCAACGCACUAUUGUAGGGUUACACGUUUGUGAUUUUGAUUGGUUGUUCCAUGUAAUUUCAUAGAAUUCAAUCAAUAUAUAGCUAGUUUCAUAUCAAGUUAAUAGGUAUGGGAUAGUUAUAGGUACGGUUAAUACAUCAGCGAUAGCAUGUAUCACAUAUAUUUGGAAAUUAAGUCAUAACUAACCAAAAUAAUGAAUUCAAUUAAUCGGUUAUUUUAUUUGCAUAAGUAGAUAGGAAUUCCAUAACACUAAACAUAUGUAAGAUUUUGUUUCAAUCAUGAUUAACAUAAAUCUAUUAGUUGUGAUCUAUUUGCUUUAUUUGUAAUAAUCUAAAUAAUAGAAAAGCUCGAAUAACACCGAUAGUUAACAAUAUUUUUUGUGGAAUCGACAUCUAAUACCCCUUAUAAAUGAUUUGUAUACUUACACAAAAUGGGAUCUUUAGACUUUUGAAAUUUGGUGCGAAGUAAAUGCCUCGGCGAAGAACCAAUUCAUAGCAGAAGCUUUGCCGAUGUUGUGGAGUAAAUUGUUGCAAAACAUGUUUACUACUUCAAGUAUAUAUUCCAACUUGUUUUUGUCCAAAAUAUACAGCUAAAAAACUUGGGACUACAAAACGCAGGAGCAAUCAUUGCUUGUUUGUAGGCAUUUGACUUGUAAACUCAAAACAUGGUUGGCAUCGAGGAGGAAUCAUUGCUAGCAUAAUUUGUUACUUGAGGAGGAAACAUUUGUUCUAGGCAUUUGACUCGUGGUGCAGACUUCUACUAUCCAGCACUAUUUCAGAUAAUUCCCAUCACAGUUUCUAGUUUAAGUUUAUACCAAAGUAUUAUUUUAAACAAUGACCCUAUGAUUCUUGCUCUGAUACUAUGAUAAAGAAGACAACAUAUAGGGAAAAAUAAUUGACAGACUUAGUUAGGAAGCCAUCUUUGCUACAUAUAAGUGAUAAAAGCCAACUUUGCUCAAGACAUGUUGUCUAUUUGAAGCCCUCGGGGGUUAGCUCGACCGGUUCCGUCGUCACCUCUUUAGGUGCAGGUUCCGUGUUCGACUCUCUCCUCGUUAACGUGCUGGGAUCCGUGGGGCAGGCUCUCCCAGCCUGGGGGAUUAGUCUGGGCAAAAUGCCUGGGAUACCCCCAGUCGACAAAAAAAAAAAAAAAUGUUGUCUAUUUGAAAAAAAAAAAAAAAAAAAGAAAAGAAAAAUCUCAAGUGCAACAACAACUUGCAUUUUUCUUUCAAGCACAUCCUUAAAUCCUCAAGGUACGAGAAGUCAAUCACUGUGAAGAAGCUAAUUUACAACACUAACGGAGAAAGAUACCUUCCUGGUAAAUGAGUCAUGCAACAAACACUACAACGUGGUGCUGCUGAUGCACUCGAUAUUCCUAGCCAGAAUUGGCCUAUUUCUUCCUCUAUCUGGGGUAUGGUUCAGUAAUUGUUGCCUCAUUGACAGAGCUUGGAAUUGAAAUUCUUUCGGUAUUAGAUUGCUCAACUUCCACCUCUUCCACCAUGCUUUCCGAUCCAUGGCUCCAGAAAACUGCCGGACGAUGUGGAGUUGGUAGGGUAACCGAGCUACAAUUGAGCAUAUUGACCAGGGAAGCCAUUGUAGGCCUUUUACUGACAUAUUCUUCUACACAUAGUAAGCCUAAUUGGACACAUUGAAUGACUUCAGUUUUGGCAAAAGAAUCUCCAAUACUUGAAUCCAAAAGAGCUAAAGGUUCGCCAUGUCUCCAAUGCUUCCAAACCUUGUAAAAAGAAAAGGAAGCAAACUAGUCUUUACGAAAAUUUUGAACUACUCUACUAUGUGUAACUACGAACAAAGGACUAAUGGUAAGGCCUAAUGGCAUCAUGACGGUGAAGAUUCGCAUUGGACAUCUAAAUAAUAAAUUGUGCCAAGUUCAAAUCCUUGACUGCAAUUGUGCAAAACCACAGAAAAAUAAUAAAAACAGCAGUAGAGGUUUUGUAAUUCGCACUUACAUAUGGAAACUACUAUUCUUCUUGCCUGUAACAAUUUCUAAAAUAACGACCCCAAAACUGAAUACAUCUGACUUUGUCGAAAACUGGCCCCGUCUCAUAUAUUCAGGAGCCAUGUAACCACUGCAAGCCACAAUGAUUGUAAUAAACAGUACUAAGAUAACCCCAAUGAGGCAAUGAAAUGGAAGUGUAGAUAAUUUUCAAUAAAGAUUCAAAGUCAUAUUAUGUGACAAAAGAUAGUAUGGGCACAAAACUUACAAUGUCCCAGCAAUUCUAUUUGUGUUUCCUUCAGAUUGAUCAACUCCACAAAUCUUUGCCAUGCCAAAAUCUGCGAUCUUUGGGCUCAUAUUUCCAUCCAAUAAUAUAUUGCUUGCUUUGAGAUCACGAUGAACAAUUUUAAGACGAGAAUUCUCAUGCAGAUAAAGAAGUCCUUUUGCUAUACCUCCAAUGAUAUUGUAAUGUCUUGACCAGUUCAAUGAUCGUUUAUUUUCUGGAUCUACACAAAUUUAAACACAAUAUACUGUGCUAGCAUUGAGAAUUAUUUUAUCAAUAAUUCUAGAAAGCAUAAUCAAAUAGGUAAAUUACAUUUUAGCUUUUAAAAUAUAAAUGCACUCUCAGUUUAGUUCUUAAAUUUUUAUUGUGGACACUUCACCUAAAGGUUUUAAAUUGUCCCACUUCAGUAUAAUUAUUAAUGAAAUCAUUAAAACAAAUGUGACAAUUGAGAGAGUGAUUGUAUGAUGUGUGACAAAUGUGACGUUUUAAGAGGUGAAGUAUCCAAAAUUAAAGUUUAAGAACUAAAGUUUGAGUGCGUCUAUGAUUUAAGGGUCUAAACUAGAAUUCACACCAAUUAAACAUUUGUCUAGAGGCAAUUUGUCCAUCAUUUCCAUAAAUGGCAAGUCAAGUAAAAUAGAACCCACCAAAGAGAAAGUAGCCAAGGCUUUUGUUAGGAACAAAUUCAUAGAUGAGUAUCUUUUCUUCUCCUUCCAGGCAAAAUCCCAAUAGUGGAACUAGAUUUCUCUGUUGAAGCUUUGCAACUACUACAAUUUCAUUUUUAAAUUCUUCUGCACCUUGCCCUGAGCUCCUUGACAGCCUCUUAACAGCUACUUCUUGUCCAUUACCAAGUACACCCUGCGUAAACAUGCAUACCAGAAUUUAAUUGAAAUAUUAAAUGUGUAGAUAUUCAAAUUCACAAAAGCAAAAUAUUUCAUGCAAAGACCCUGUAUACACGACCAAAUCCACCUUCGCCAAUUUUGUUAUCCACAGAGAAGUUAUUUGUGGCAAUUUGAAUUUCAGUUAAGCUAUACUGUAAAGAUUCGGCAGUGAAGAUAUCAGCAACUCCAUCUACACCAGAAAUAAGAAAAUACACUCAAUUUAUUUGUUCAAACAAAUCUGAAGUGUUUGUAAUAUUAAUCUAUCAACUUUACCACUUGUUUCCAGUGCCAUAGCAAUAUAACUCUUCCGCAAUCUUCUUUUCAGGAAAACUAAAGCCAUGAUAAAUAGCACAACAGCAACCCCAAUUAAUGGGACAGCAAUUGAAAAAGCUGCUCGUAGGGGGCUUUCGCCCUUUGCCUGGAUGAAAGUUAGUUUAAUUUAUCUUCGAAAGUCAGCUGAUCAUAGGAGAUCAAGUUUAUUAAACUUCGAGGUAGAGUCACUCUGAGACAGCCUUACAUAGACAAAAAGCUAGAGUUCAGAUCCUCUCUAUUACUUUCUCACCAUUUAUGUGCCUAAAUUUUUCAUAACAAUCUAUUUAUUAUGUCAAUAAUUUUACUUCCACAAGUAGAUCAACAUACUUAAAAUUCAUUCUCAUUUAUGAAUUUUUUGUCAUUCAAUUUGUACAAAACACUUUGACGGUGCAAUAUGGGCCAAAAUUAUAAUAAAAAAUGCAAAGUUUGAUCCAAUAGUAAAAUUUAAUCAGUUUAAUUUGAAUUUUUUAAUAUACUUUAAACAACACAAGAAAUAUAAUUUGGAUGACCUUUUAUUUCAAAAAUAAUAUUAUAACCAUGUUUAUUUAGGUGUAAUGGAGAAAAAAUUUUCUGCAAUUAAUGGAGAAGAGCCUAACCCAAAGGGCUAUGCAAAAACACAUUAUUUGAAAGAACAUUUUUUUUUCAAUAUUCUUUAAAAGUUUUCACCACCUUUUGGUCUCACAUGCUUCAUGUUGAUGGUAAAUGAAGAGAGAUUUUCAUCAUCAAUUUUCAAUAUUAUGGACUAAUAUUAAGAAACUCCCCUGAGGUUUGAACAUAUACAAGCUUAACUGUGUUUGGACCAAAUUACGACUACCCAUUGUAAGCGAGGCUGUCCAGACCUAGUGAUUAUAAAGAAAUGACAACAAUGCCAAAUAUUUUGGAAAUAAAACCACACAAAUGAGAUUGCUUUUUUAGGCCAAAGAAUUGCUGUAGAAGAAAAAGGUUGAAGACAAUUAUUUACCAAAUUAAUAAGAGAGACAAAUCACCAAAAAUUCUUUAGCCUAUGCACUUGUAGCCUUGUGUGGAAGUGCAAAUCCUUAUUUCUUAUUCGCUGGAUGAUUUCACACCACGCAUCUGUGGUCCUGUGAAAUUGGAUAGCAUAAGUUUCCUUCGCUUUGAGAAGACCACGAAUCGAGGUGGGAAAUCAUCCAACGACGUGUUUCCUCUUCUGUGUUUUUUGUUCUUUUGUUAUGUAUUUGUUUUUAGUUAUUCCAUUUUGAUUUUUUAUGACCCUACAUGAAGAAUACAUGGCAAUAUUCCAUUUUGUUUUUUGUAGUUGUUCUUAUUCGCUGGAUGAUUUCGCACCGCGCAUCUGUGGUCCUGUGAAAUUGGAUAGCAUAAGUUUCCUUUGCUUUCAGAAGACCACGGAUCUGAGGUGGGAAAUCACCCAACGAUGUGUUUCCUCUGCUGUGUUUUUUGUUCUUUUGUCAUGUAUUUGUUUUUAGUUAUUCCAUUUUGAUUUUAAGCAAAUUGCGCGAAAUGUCACUAAACUAUUGCGAGGUGCCGGUUCUGAUCACUAAACUUUUUUAUUAGCCAAAAAUGUCACUGAACUAGUAAAUCUGUACCGUUUUAGUCAUUCCAUAUAUUUAUGCCGUUAGGAGAGACGGAAAGUCACUUUUUGAAGGGCAAUUUCGUCUACACAGCUGUUAAAAAAUUUAUCCCUCGUUCUUCUGCACCCACAACCACCCUAUCACCUACAUUGCCACCCACCGCCAUCACUUCCACCUCCACUUUCCCUUUUUUCUUUCUUCUUCUUUCUCCUCCCUCUUCCUUCCCUCCCUUCCUCUCUCUUCCCCUACUCCCUGCCUUCUCUUUUCUCCCCUUCUAUUGGAACCCCCCCUUCCCUCUCAUUUUUGAUCCUGACCAGAGCUCUAGCUGCGACCUUCAAUCCAAGCUCAUCGGAGAACAACAACAAACGGUGGAGACCUUGCACCCUCAUUCUUCAAGAUCUGAGCAUAUGCUUUUGGAAUGGGCGGUGGUUUCUUUCAAUUGAAGCAGGCCGAGGUUGCCAACAAUGGGAGACAAAGGCAUAUGAGAAUAUGGAUGAGGAUGAAUGAUGGACAUGUGCAAAAAAUGUACACUUGCCAAUUGAAGUAAAUGGAUGGAUGAUUCACAAACAAUGGCUGUAAUAUCAUGGAGAUGGGGAUACUAGUAUAGGGGGGGGAAAAGUUUUUUUUUCAAAAAGAAAAAAAAAACAGAAAAAAAAUCUUUCAUAUAUGUGCAAUUGGCACCAGUUGCUAACAAGCGCGGCCCCUGCGGCAAUUAAGGACACCAGCACCAUAAGUCAUUGAUGCAACCAUGGAAGACGACUUGGCACCUAAGCAUGAAGCUCUAGCAUAGCUGGCCGAGGCCCCUGCUCCAGAUGGAGUGAAAUAGGCACCAUUAAGCAUCAGGUCGCCCUCUGAUCUCCAGUUCCAAUUCUUCCACUGGUAUUCAGCAGUUUCAACCCUCUUUGUUACCUGUCAAAACCAGUCCAUUUACAUAAAGGGGGAUCAGUUCAAUGAGGUCAUGGUUAAUAAAAAGUCAUCACUGGGUAGAUGUUGAAUGCUAGUAACUGUAUAUUACCUCCUUUGCAAAAGGAUUGAGCGGGGCGAGGUAACAAUUAUUUCAGAUCUUGAUGGUGCUGCCAUUUAGAUCGGCCAUCUCCUUUAUAUCUCUGCCGGAUACGGAACCAUUGAUUAUGUAAAAGCUUCAAGGAAAAGAUUGUGCGGACGAAAUUGCCCCUCAAAAAGUGACUUUUCAUCUCUCCUAAUGGUACAAAUACACGGAAAGACUAAAACGGUAUAGAUUUACUAGUUUAGUGACAUUUUUGGCCAAUAAAAAAGUUUAGUGAUCAGAACCGGCAUUUCUUAGUGACAUUUCGCGCAAUUUGCUCUUUUGAUUUUUUAUGGCUCUACACGAAGAAUACAUGGCAAUAAUCCAUUUUGUUUUUUGUAUUUGUUCUUAUGGCAAUUAAGGACACCUGCACCAGAAGUCAUUGAUGCGACCAUGGAAGACGACUUGGCACCUAAGCUUGAAGCUCUGGCAUAGCGGGCCGAGGCCCCUGCUCCAGAUGGAGUGAAAUAGGCACCAGUAAGCAUCAGGUCACCCUCUGAUCUCCAAUUCCAAUUCUUCCACUGGUGUUCAACAGUUUCAACCCUCUUUGUUACCUGUCAAAACCAGUCCAUUUACAUCAAGGGGGAUCGGUUCAAUGAGGUCAUGGUUAAUAAAAAGUCAUCACUGGGUAGAUGUUGAAUGCUAGUAGCUAUAUAUUACCUCAUUUGCAAAAGGAUUGAGCGGGGAGCGCUAACAAUUAUUUCAGAUCUUGAUGGUGCUGCCAUUUAGAUCGGCCAUCUCCUUUAUAUCUCUGCCGGAUACGGAACCAUUGAUUAUGUAAAAGCUUCAAGGAAAAAAUUGUGUGGACGAAAUUGCCCCUCAAAAAGUGACUUUUCGUCUCUCCUAACGGUAUAAAUAAACGAAAAGACUAAAACGGUACAGAUUUACUAGUUUAGUGACAUUUUUGGCCAAUAAAAAAGUUUAGUCAUCAGAUCCGGCACUUCGCAAUAGUUUAGUGACAUUUCGCGCAAUUUGCUCUUUGAUUUUUUAUGGCUCUACACGAAGAAUACAUGGCAAUAAUCCAUUUUGUUUUUUGUAUUUGUUCUUAUGGCAAUUAAGGACACCUGCACCAGAAGUCAUUGAUGCGACCAUGGAAGACGACUUGGCACCUAAGCUUGAAGCUCUGGCAUAGCUGGCCGAGGCCCCUGCUCCAGAUGGAGUGAAAUAGGCACCAUUAAGCAUCAGGUCGCCCUCAGAUCGCCAGUUCCAAUUCUUCCACUGGUAUUCUGCAGUUUCAACCCUCUUUGUUACCUGUCAAAACCAGUCCAUUUACAUCAAGGGGGAUCGGUUCAAUGAGGUCAUGGUUAAUAAAAAGUCAUCACUGGGUAGAUGUUGAAUGCUAGUAACUGUAUAUUACCUCCUUUGCAAAAGGAUUGAGCGGGACGAGGUAACAAUUAUUUCAGAUCUUGAUGGUGCUGCCAUUUAGAUCGGCCAUCUCCUUUAUAUCUCUGCCGGAUACGGAACCAUUGAUUAUGUAAAAGCUUCAAGGAAAAGAUUGUGCGGACGAAAUUGCCCCUCAAAAAGUGACUUUUCGUCUCUCCUAACGGUAUAAAUAAACGAAAAGACUAAAACGGUAUAGAUUUACUAGUUUAGUGACAUUUUUGGCCAAUAAAAAAGUUUAGUGAUCAGAUCCGGCACUUCGCAAUAGUUUACUUACAUUUCGCGCAAGCUCUUUGAUUUUUUAUGGCUCUACACGAAGAAUACAUGGCAAUAAUCCAUUUUGUUUUUUGUAUUUGUUCUUAUGGCAAUUAAGGACACCUGCACCAGAAGUCAUUGAUGCGACUAUGGAAGACGACUUGGCACCUAAGCUUGAAGCUCUGGCAUAGCUGGCCGAGGCCCCUGCUCCAGAUGGAGUGAAAUAGGCACCAUUAAGCAUCAGGUCACCCUCUGAUCUCCAAUUUCAAUUCUUCCACUGGUGUUCAACAGUUUCAACCCUCUUUGUUACCUGUCAAAACAAAUCCAUUUACAUCAAGGGGGAUCGGUUCAAUGAGGUCAUGGUUAAUAAAAAGUCAUCACUGGGUAGAUGUUGAAUGCUAGUAGCUAUAUAUUACCUCCUUUGCAAAAGGAUUGAGCGGGGAGAGCUAACAAUUAUUUCAGAUCUUGAUGGUGCUGCCAUUUAGAUCGGCCAUCUCCUUUAUAUCUCUGCCGGAUACGGAACCAUUGAUUAUGUAAAAGCUUCAAGGAAAAGAUUGUGCGGACGAAAUUGCCCCUCAAAAAGUGACUUUUCGUCUCUCCUAAUGGUACAAAUACAUGGAAAGACUAAAACGGUAUAGAUUUACUAGUUUAAUGACAUUUUUGGCCAAUAAAAAAGUUUAGUGAUCAGAACCGGCACUUCUUAGUGACAUUUCGCGCAAUUUGCUCUUUGAUUUUUUAUGGCUCUACACGAAGAAUACAUGGCAAUAUUCCAUUUUUUUUUUUGUAUUUGUUCUUAUGGCAAUUAAGGACACCUGCACUAGAAGUCAUUGAUGCGACCAUGGAAGACGACUUGGCACCUAAGCUUGAAGCUCUGGCAUAACUGGCCGAGGCCCCUGCUCCAGAUGGAGUGAAAUAGGCACCAUUAAGCAUCAGGUCGCCCUCUGAUCUCCAGUUCCAAUUCUUCCACUGGUAUUCAGCAGUUUCAACCCUCUUUGUUACCUGUCAAAACCAGUCCAUUUACAUAAAGGGGGAUCAGUUCAAUGAGGUCAUGGUUAAUAAAAAGUCAUCACUGGGUAGAUGUUGAAUGCUAGUAACUGUAUAUUACCUCCUUUGCAAAAGGAUUGAGUGGGGCGAGGUAACAAUUUCAGAUCUUGACGGUGCUGCCAUUUAGAUCGGCCAUCUCCUUUAUGUCUUUGCCGGAAUCGGAACCAUUGAUUAUGUAAAAGCUUCAAGGAAAAGAUUGUGCAGACGAAAUUGCCCCUCAAAAAGUGACUUUUCGUGUCUCCUAACGGUAUAAAUACACGGAAUGACUAAAACGGUACAGAUUUACUAGUUUAGUGAUAUUUUUGGCUAAUAAAAAAGUUUAGUGAUCAGUACCGGCACUUCGCAAUAGUCUAGUGACAUUUCGCGCAAUUUGCUCUUUGAUUUUUUUUUGGCCCUACACGAAGAAUACAUGGCAAUAUUCCAUUUUGUUUUUUGUAUUUGUUCUUAUGGCAAGGACACCUGCACCAGAAGUCAUUGAUGCGACCAUGGAAGACGACUUGGCACCUAAGCUUGAAGCUCUGGCAUAGCUGGCCGUGGCCCCUGCUCCAGAUGGAGUGAAAUAGGCACCAUUAAGCAUCAGGUCGCCCUCUGAUCUCCAGUUCUAAUUCUUCCACUGGUAUUCAACAGUUUCAACCCUCUUUGUUACCUUUCAAAACCAGUCCAUUUACAUCAAGGGGGAUCGGUUCAAUGAGGUCAUGGUUAAUAAAAAGUCAUCACUGGGUAGAUGUUGAAUGCUAGUAACUGUAUAUUACCUCCUUUGCAAAAGGAUUGAGCGGGGCGAGGUAACAAUUAUUUCAGAUCUUGAUGGUGCUACCAUUUAGAUCGGCCAUCUCCUUUAUAUCUCUGCCGGAUACGGAACCAUUGAUUAUGUAAAAGCUUCAAGGAAAAGAUUGUGUGGACGAAAUUGCCCCUCAAAAAGUGACUUUUCGUCUCUCCUAACGGUAUAAAUACAUGGAAUGACUAAAACGGUUUAGAUUUACUAGUUUAGUGACUUUUUGGCUAAUAAAAAAGUUUAGUGAUCAGAACCGGCACUUCGCAAUAGUUUAGUGACAUUUCGCGCAAUUUACUCUUUGAUUUUUUAUGACCCUACACGAAGAAUACAUGGCAAUAUUCCAUUUUGCUUUUUGUAUUUGUUCUUAUUCACUGGAUGAUUUCGCACCACGCAUCUGUGGUCCUGUGAAAUUGGAUGGCAUAAGUUUCCUUCGCUUUCAGAAGACCACGGAUCUGAGGUGGGAAAUCAUCCAACGAUGUGUUUCCUCUGCUAUGUUUCUUGUUCUUUUGUCAUGUAUUUGUUUUUAGUUAUUCCAUUUUGAUUUUUUAUGACCCUAAAUGAAGGGUACACAUCAAUAUACAUAGUUAUUAAACUCGAUCGGGCAAGAAAUCCAACAAAGGAACCAAGGCAACGGACGACUAGUUUAACCAAUCAGUCAUUGGUUGAACUUGUGGAUAUAAAAUAGUAAUAAAGUGCUUUUAGAUACUAAUUAUUAUGCUUUGAAAGAUAUAUAAUGAACAUACAAAUAUUAAUAGAAGAUUCAAUUUCAUUUUACUGUACUUGUACUUAAAUAAAUAACACAUUUAAAUAUAGAACAAAAUUGUAUCACUUAUUUUCAAAGAUAUAGCAUCAUUUUUUAUUAUUUUAUCUUUCAAAAAUAAAAUAAUUUUUAUCAACUCAAAUAUUGUAAGUUUGAAAGUUAAAAGAAUUAAUUGUAUAACAAAAAAGUAAACAAGUUUAUUUAAUAAAACAUUUAAUUAUCAAGUAAAAACUAAGCAAGUAGUAAAAUUUUAUACACAUUUAAAUGAAAAUCCAACAUACAAAUCUAGUCAAAAGUAUAUUACACUUUAUUUCAAAAACAAUGAUCCACAAUUGUAUUAAAAAAAAGAACCCAGUCAACUGGAAAAUCGGACGGGCUCCGAUUGAACCACUAUGUCAAACAAGUUUGAUCGGACCAAUUCAUUCUCCAAUCAAACUGGAAAUCCUUUCGGCCGAAUGGUCGAGUCAUUUGUAGGAUUGUAAAAAAAUCGAAUCGCUUACGAGCAACUCAAUCCAAAGCUCGACUCGAGCUCGAUGUGCUGCUUGCCGCAACUCGAGCUCAAUCAACAUCGAACUCGAGUCGGGCUCAACCUGAUCAAGUCGAACUCGAAUUCGAACUCGAGUUUAAAGAUAAUCAACUCGUUAGUUCAUAAGCCGGCUUAAUUAUAUACAUAUUAUUUUUUAAUUUAAUAAUAAAAUUACAUAUAUCCCUUAUAUUUUAUUAUUUGUUAAGAAAAUUAUUAUUUUAUUCCCUUUUUAAAAAAUAAAAUAAUUAUUUUUUUAAGCUCGAGUUUGAGUUCAAACUCGAUUUGAAUUUGAGUCAAGCUUGAGCUCGAGUUGUUACAUUGAAAGUUCGUCGAGUUUGAGCUCGAGUUUGCUAAGUCAAAUUUGGAUUGAUUAAACCAAAGUCGACUCGACUCAACUCGUUUGUAGCCUAUUUCAUUGGGCUGAUUGUUUCAACUGCUAGGGUCACGCCAAGUUCAAUAACUAUAGGGGAUGAAAUAAAAAGUAAAACAGAAAAUCCAUUGUGAAACAAAUGUAAAAAAAUUUUAUUUGGCAAGAAAACAAUGAUAGGAUUUAAGAGUGGAGGAGAAAGGGAAUUUGAAUCAAAGAUCUCUAAAUUCUAAGGUCUCAACCUUAGCCACUAAGCAUAUAGCGUUAUCUCAUAAUCUCCUUAUGCAUGUGAAAUUAUCCUAUUAUUCUGGCCCCUUGAACUUUCUUGUAAAGUGGAUCACUGAUUUUUCUUUUUUAGGGUAAAUUAACUUCAAAGAGGGUAAAAAUGGUAUUUGGUUGGCUUCAAUGCGAAUAUUUGUCUUGUAUAUUUUUUCUCAGCUAUUUUCUACUUUGGGCUCUUGAACUAUAGACAUACUGCCACUUUAAUCAUUAAAUUUCAAAGUUGAGCACUUUAUAUCUUAAAAUAUGAAAUUCAUCCUACUUUAGUUUUUAAUAAUUGUAUUCAAAAUUUUGACAGCUAGUUUUGUCACAAAACAAAGAAAGAUCAAAUGGCUCCACAUUACCAAAGCACAACUAACGUAAAAUUGCGAUUUUGAAACCACAAAUGUUAAGAGGCAAAACAUUAAACCACAAAGAAGUACCAUUAAUUUACUUAUUUAAUAUCAGAUUUCAAACUAGCAAACAAAUUAUAUUGCACUAUAACGGAAAAUCUUUUACAUGCAUACAAUACAUCCUCGAUCUUCUUCAACGUCUUUGUCUUAAAUUGGAAAAACUAAAAUGGAUUCUUCUUUGCAUUAUGCCAUAGUAAUUUCAUUUUUUACAUCAAUACCAUCCAUAAUAUAACUCAUGUACUAUUUUAGUUACACACAAAAGUUAAAUUAAAAAUACCAAAAUUUUUCCAUUUGAUUAAUCAUUGCAAAAUUUUCCAUGAACUUAAACCCUUUUACAUUAUGUAAAUGUUUCUAGCAAAUUGAAUGCAAAAACUUUCUCAAAUGCACUUUAUAUUCAUGUAUGCUGAUCAACCAAUCAAAAGAAAAUUAUAACAUAAGUAUAUGAGUUUUAAAAACCAUAUAAUAGAUAAAUGGAUAGAUAACUAAAUAAAAACGUAAUGCAAAGGUGCCCAACCCAUUUUCGCACGUCAGGCCAUCACAGUUAAAGGGAUUCCGCAAUGACCAUAACAAUUCUACUUCAACAUAUAUUCAAUAGUUAUUACAGUCCCAAUGCUUGCAAAAAGACUAAAUUUACUGUCCUAAGAAGCAUGACUCCACUUAAAAUCUUCCAUAAAUGACAAAUGAUGAUGCAUGUGAUCAGUAAGAUGUGCUAAUGCUGAAAUCUUACUGUUGCGUAUUCAACUAAAAUUUUACUUAGAAAAUUCAACAAGUUACGUGGUGGUCUCCUUUAGGUAUAUAUUUUUCGUUUGAAAGUGAAUUCACACCCCUCAUCCUAUAUUUACAUAUUCUACUAACUUCAAUAAUAUUAAUUCCAAUAAUAAAGGUAUGAAUUUAAUAUGAAGGCAUGUGAAUUUAGUGCUUUUCAUUUUCGACCUAGAAUUUACUACAAACAAGAAAUUGUAAGAAUUAAGAUUGUAUAAACACCAAGUUGUUUAAUUGAAAUUGCAGGCCAAUAAAGAAUUAAGAUAUUCAUUUUCUUUCGAUGCUGUUGUUGAUUGGAAAGCUAACUUUCCAGUUUGGUUGCUUGAAUGUGCUCAAACAGACGUAGAGGAGCAGUUGCUUCAGAAUGUGUAACUUGGUUUUUGAUGAAUGAAUUGUUGCCGUUUUAGACAAAAAAAAGAAAAGAAAAAGAGUAUGAUGAAAAGCUUGACUCAAAUUCUUAAAAGAUGAGAAAAAAAAAAAGAUUUGGACUGAAAAUGUGAGGUUAGAAGACCCAUGUGUAUCAAAAUAUGCAAGUGACAACUGUAACAUACUUGAAAAUUACAAAACUAUAGUAUCAAUCAUUUAGCAUCAUUUUAAGACAACAAGCCACGCUAAUUUGAAGUGGAACUUGUAUUCUGUGUACAAGACAUUAGAUAAAGUAGAAACUUAUCGUAUCUGUUGCAUCAUACGAAUAAAUAUGGAUAAAGACAAUGCAAGUGUGGUUGUCGUGUCGUAAGCAACUUGUAAGAUGAAUCCUUAUCAUAAUAAACAAUUUAAUUAAGUGGAAAUGAAGUUUUUUUUUUUUUGGAAAGUAUAAUAUAUCAAACACUUAUUACAUGUUUUAUUACUUUUAGUUCCAAAGGUUCAUAUAUCUAUCAGAGUGAAUAAAAGUGUAUAUUUCUUUGUGCCAUUUGAAGGUUGGCUGUUAUGAUGUAUUAUUCGAGCAUCAUGUGAAUUUUUAAUAAUUAACCUAGAAAUUUCACAUAAAAAUGCUAAAUCCAUUCACUUCUAAUCUAGAUUCAUACUUUAAAAAAGUUUAAUUCUUAUAUGCAACUCAUCAAUACAUCAAAUAUAUAGAUUUAACCGCUGCUUUUCCUAUGUUUCCCAAAGAAUUUGUAUUUAAAGAAAAUAUGAUAAUCAUAAUUUCUUUUGAGUAAUUACUUCACUAAACUGUGACAAAAAUUAGGACAAGAUUAUGUGCUUGUUAUACUUUUUGUUUCAGUUAAGUGCAAAUCUGUGAAGGCAUAGUUUGGAGGCAUGUACUUCCACAAUUUGCGAGAUUUGCAUAAUUAGCCCUAACAAAUAUUCUUCUUUUUAUUUGGGAUAAAAGAACCCAUAACUGUUAUUCGAAAGUGCGCAUUGAGUAAAUUCCGUCUCAUACACUAACCUGCCAAUCACACGGAUGGGCAAAAAGCACUAGCCAAAUCCUGUGCGACUAGGGGUAAUAUUCUUCUUGAUUUCCCCAGAAAAAAAAAAAAGAAUCUUUUUUUUUUUUUGAAAUUUUUCGUAAGUUACCUUCAUAAAAGGUUUGCUUUUCUUAAACAUCCUUUUCAGCCCAGUUGUAGGGUCAUAAGAGAAAAUAACAAAUAAACAUUUGCAUGUCUGCUUGUUCCAUUGUGCACCCCAUGUUCCACUCUUUCUUUUCUUAGAGCCCACUUGAACAAUAAUCACAAGAACAAACGCGUAAUGGAACAGGAAUCACAAUCAUAUGAGGCUAGUUUUCGUGCCGCGGCUGGUGUUAUAACAUUGAAGUAAUUUUCGUUCAUAAUGAUAAAUUUUUUAGUUUUAAUUUGCAGCCAAUUUUUGACUAAUGGAAGGUAUAUCUUGAAAAAAUUUACCAUGGUCUUAAAACAAUAGAUUUGGCAAUACGAUUUUGGCAUAUGACAAAGCAAUUACGAAGUUAUGUCGAUGACGCUUUAUUUCGCGCACACAUUAUAUAUAUAUAUAUAUAUAUAUAUAUAUAUAUAUAUAUAUAACAAACACACACACACACAUAUAUACACAACAAACUAAUUUGUUGGUUUCAUAAGCAUAAAAAUGACAAUUUCUUUCUCUCAAAUCUAUGUCUACGCCUCAUUCUUGUUUUGUUAUUUUGGUUAGAGAUAGUAGUUUUAGUUUUGUGAAACACGAUAAAGGUAUCUGUUUGAGGGAUGAAACAAAAAGGUCAUUCUUUCUUUUCCAUGGGAGUCAUGCAUAAAACAGAGUUCAUUUCAGUACUUGACUUUUAUUUCCAUGCCACAUUAAUUAAUUUCCCAAAAAAUAAGGGAAAUGAAAAACUUAUCUAACUUCUCCAUUUGGUUUGAUAAACUAAAAAAGAAAAAUACAUACCUUUAGCAUAAUAAACGGAAAAAAAAAAGUUCGGCAGGAAGAAUUGGCACAACAACUUUUAAGCUUUUGUGUGUCUUCCGUUUAGCCUUUUUUCCCUUUUGAGGGGAUGCCAUGCCUCCAAAAUCAACAAGCAAUUGUGAUGUGUGGAAUUGAGCUAAAACUGACUAAUUUUCUGCAUAAAGUCAAUUAUUAACACUUUGAUGAUUAGCUGAAACUGAAAGCAGUAAUUUUGCACUAGACGAACAUUACGAGUUUGUGACCCUCUGGUCCACUCCACAUCCCAAUUUCUCUUUUAAAAUGAGUAAUUCCACUAAAUCAUUUUGUAUGACUUGGUGGACCAUCCCAUUUCACUUCUUUAUUAGUACAGGACCAUCCAACAAAUCACAAUAUGGAGUUAGCUAAACUUCCAAGUCCAAAGAAACAAUUACAGUGUCCUAGAGGCGACUUGCAAGCUUCAAACUUUGUCUAUUUAUAUACUGGUUCAGAUCCCAUGUUUUUAUAAGCCUAUCAAAACAAAACACACCAAUGGCACCCCCCACUUCCAUCACCUUCUUCAAUUUUAUGAUCUCCACUUAUCUAAUUCUCUCUCAGAUUUCUGUGACCUUCAUGAAGGGCCAUGCUUUGGAAAGAAGUCUGGCUGCUGAAAGCAACUACCACACAGUUCAUGUCAGUUCAAUACUACCAUCCUCUGCCUGCAAGCCCUCUGCCAAAGGUUUUAUUCAAUUGAACUUCCUGCUUCUUUCUUUCUUUCUUCAGUGGAAUUGCUAGCUAGUUUUAGUUUUUGGGCUAGCUACAGAAUUUUCUUUUGCACUACAUAAACAUCUUUUUGUCAUAUUCAUUCUAAUCUUAGAUUUUGUGUUUGUUUUUAAAAGGACUAAUGAAACUGCGAAUGAUAGAUUCUACCAGUUUUAAGUACUCCAUGAAGAUUACGCUUUUGAGGGCUAUUUGUUUAGUUAAAGAGGUCCCUAAUAUUUUUGUGGAAAGGAAGGUUGUUCAAAGAAGGAGAUUUUAAACAAUGAAGACUUUUUAGUUAACUGUCCCUCCAUAAGUAGUUGGUUCCAAGACAAUAAUGAAGACAAACUAAGCAAAAUCACACCCAAUAUUGAUGGAUUAACAAGGGUGACCAUUCUCACUUCUUUCCAAAAACAAGAGAAGUUAUAUUCAUUAUUCUUUUACAGACUUCUUAAACAUUUAGUUUAAAGAAAAGAUUUAGCAUUGAAAAGUUUUGCAGCCUCCAUCUCGUUUCAGUGUCAUUAUUUCUUUGAUUGGGUGUCACAAAAUAAGAGUUUCUUUUUAAAGGUCAUUAGCUAGUGAGACUCAUUAAGUCUCUAUCAGGUUAGCUAGGACUAGUUUUGAAUUCCUCUACCCCAUUGCACCCCCCACUAUUUAGUGUACUAAAGGAAAAAAAAAAAACAAAGAACUUUUAAAAGUAUUACUAUAGUUUUCCUAUUUUACCAUUUGAAAAGAACAACUUUUCCAAAAUUCGAAUGCAAUCCUCAUUAUUAUACAAUGUAAAUAUGAGGUUCAUGAUUAACCUAAGCCCCAAGAAUUAGAAAUUUCAGAUUUCAAUCCCCCUGUCCCUUCCCAUUUCUUAAAUCUCAUCUUUUUUCUAUUGGAAUUUUUUUAUAUAUAUAAAAAAACUUAAGGCCAUAACCUAAAGACAUGAAUAAUGGUAAAGGGUGCAAUUUGGGGUGGGGUGGGGUGGGAUUUUUUGGGGGGUGGGGGGGUGGAGAGGGGUGAAGAACAGCUAAUCCUUCAGCCUAAUUGCAAAUAUUAAAUGAGAUUCUACCAAUAAUCCAAUCAUCCAAGCAAAGGGGCCCAUCCAUAAUCAAAGAAGAACUUUAUUUCCAAUUUUUUCUUUCAUUGGAAUAGGUGAUAUGUUAAAUUUUGUCAAAAGAACCUUCUCAGAAAUAGAAAAAUUUUGGAUAAUUAAUGUUAAAUAACCAAUUUAGAGGCUAUUUAUCACAAGGAGAUGUCUUUAUGUUCUUGAAAUUACGCUAGUUUUUGAAUAUAAUCAAUGGCUCGUUUCCAAUUCCAAAAGACUCUUAGUCGUGCCAUGCGCAGAGAAGAUUAUGUAUGGUAAGGGUAAAAUGCUUAAAGCAACUAGCUUAUUGGCAAAGGAAAAUGGCAUUGAUUAGUACUGGUAUACAUUUAUUAGAAAAAAAGAAAAUCCUUAUAAUUGAGAUGGAGCUAUCCUUAUUACGAUAGACCUCAUCAGUAUUAUUCGCUCACUAAAUGUUGUCGCUUCAGAAGCCAUUAGAAGACAACUGAUAAAGAAGCCAACCACCCAAAAAAAAAAAAAAAAAAG